UAAUGCAGUGCAGACCACCGCACGGCGCGGCACCAUGGAUCCAUGAUGAUGACGACAAGAAGCUGCUCAUUGAUGCCGCUGCUGCUAAGAAUAACUAGUAGUACUGCUGGAGAGAUUUCUCCAGUUCCUGCCUCCCAUUGUAUUUGGAUGAAUUUGCUCGAUUUUGAAUGGAAUUCUCAUUUUUAAAUCUUGGGCUAUGAAUGUCAACUUUGAGAAUCUUCUGCUAGGAAUUGUCAGCAUUGACUAUAUACCAAUUACUGAAUAGACUAUUACUGGCAUGCUUUCAAUUAACUACUGAUUUAAGAAUUCUGAAACGGUAGUAUAGUAAGCAACAAGGAUGUGCUGGCAGUGCAAGCUGGAGGAUUGUUUAGCACUAAGAUGUGCUGCAGACUUUGCCCCUCGACUUAUUACAAAAUACUCCACUGCUGGAGUACGCACAAUGGAAGAUCUGUUUCUCUCUCGAUCAGCUUUAACAGGGAUAUUCUUGAUAGUGCCUCCACGGCUCCUUUAUCCAAAAAAGAAGUCCUCCACGGCUCAGCGGAAUAUACCGUCACGACAAGCAUACGCCUCAGCAGUAACAAUGCCGGCAGGAACAUAUUCAUGCCAAGUAGACACGACAGGCACGAGAACGCUAUUAUCAUCCGCCCGAAUGGCACCCGCCUCGGUUCCAACCUCAGAGCAUCUCCACUCGUUCGGUUCCUCAGCGCAUAGGCCGGCGCUCUUUCGCACGCUCGCCCGACGAUUUUUAGCGUGAUCUAGGUCCCAGCCACGCCCCCAGGUGUCGUCCUCAAGGUGUUCACAAAUUCAAACUGUUCGGCGAUCAUCUUGCCACAGUUCGGCGGUCAAAUGAAAAGUUCGGCGUAAAAAAAGAAAGGACGCAUAGGCAAUGCAUCAAACGGCGGUGUCGGCCUCCGGCGUAGGAGGAGACGGCAUGCGCGGGCUGGGCGGCGUCGGCGCGGCUUUUGUGCUGCUGGGCGUCGUGGAGGCAUCAUCACUCGGGUUUGGUGGCGCCGCCGACGGCAUCUGGUUCAGGAUGAGGCCGCGCUCCACCAGGUACCACGCCUUGAGCUGCCUGUCGUCGCUCCGGAGCAUGCCCGCCCGCCCAUCAGGAAAGCCAGGUCGGUGUUCCUUUUCUUCGCGCCGACGUUGGUCCGGAGCAAGUCGAGCUUGACGGCGCUGUUCGUCAUCAACGCCGACCACCGCGCCUCGGUUUUCUCUUCCCGCAGGGCGGCCCGGGUCUGGGCGUCGGCGAGGCAAUGCUCGAUGGACUCUUGCACACGUGCGGUAGCCGACUCGGCGUGUUUCGCCUUCUUGGCCCCUUUGUUGCCGUCCAGGCCCCCGUCGGCCACGCCCGGCGUCGACAUGUCCGGCUUGUACGUCUCCUUGGCCUUGGCGAGGGUGCACCGGACAUCCUUCCACUUCUCGCACUUAUCAAUCCGCUUGAAGACGUGCAGAUACUUGAACUCUUGGUUGUUGUUGUCCUGGCGAAACAUGGCGAACAUCCACAGCAGCUGCGCCGAGGAACAUCAGUCGGCGGGCGCGCACACGGCGAAAAGGAAAGGGAGAGACCGGCGUGCCAUACCUGAUCCUCGAUGCUGGCGCCGCUCUCCGGGCGAGCCACGAUCUCCUCGACGAUCCCAUGCCAUUUGUUACACGCCGUCUAGAUGAGACCCAAUGGUUCGCCAUUGCCUUCGACCCGCUCUGCAUGUAGACGCCUUUGAAGCAGGGGUUGACGAGCUUGCGCUCGUCGAAUUCGGCCUUGAUGCGGUCCCAAUACGUGUCGAUGCUCUGGUUUGUGCUAGUGAUCGGGUCGAGGCAGACGACUUUCCACGCUUCGGCGAGACACUCGUUCUCCUUGGACGCCCACUUGAUGUGCGGCUCGCCGGUCCUGGCCGCCCGCUUCUUCUUCUUCUUCCCUUUCCUCGUCGGAGCAGGCGCCGACUCUUCCUCCUCCUCCUCCUCCUCUGGCUCUUCCUCGUCGUAGUCGAGCUCCCCGUCCAUGUCGCCGUUGAGGUCCAUUGUGUCGUCUUGGGCAGUGAACUCGGGGGAGGCGGCGGCGGCGGCCGAGCCGGUCGUGAUGAUGUCUUCCAUGUCGGGCUCCGUCGCGUCGGUGUCGCCGAGAUGCGACGAGGAGGCUUGUGAGAAGAGCAGCGUGCAACGGCGGAGAGGUGGCGUCGGGGAGGCUGCGUAGGCCGGCGGCGAGUAGGUGUACGGAGGGCACUGCACACCGGUGAAGGCGGGUGAGGGCGUGCGCUGGGCUGGGUGACCAUGGGGGAAGGUGUGUUGGGGUUGAAUCUGCCGUGCGCGUCGCCGUCGGCGUAGCCCAGCGACGGCGUGCAGCCCCAGGGUUGUGGCGACGACGAGAAGCCGGCCGGAGAUCCGACGCUUUCUGGCUCCAGGACGCGUACGGGCCGUGGCCGUCGGGUGGAUUCAUCAUCCCCGCGCAAGCUACCUCGGAUUGUUCGGUCGAGCGCUGCGCCUGCUCCGCCACCGCCGCAGCCGCGAGCACCGCCCUGUCCGGGCCUUCUUGGCGUUUGCCCUGUUCCGCCGGUCGGUGAUGACAGCCUCCCGGCGCUGAACUUCCGCCUUCCAGUCGGCGUUAGACAUGCCCGGGGCCUUGGACGGCGGCGCCCUCUGCUUCCUCUACUUCGGCUGGGUGGCGGCGGUGGCGGUACCCGUCACGGCGCGAGGGGCCACGUACUUCUUCGGCGGCAUGGCGGCCGUCUGGGAGGGGAGGAGGCGGAGUUUGGCGGGAGGAAUGGAGAAUGAAAGGGAAGCCGAGGGAAAAAGCGGAAGGAAACGACGGGAAAAAGUUCUCCUCUCGCUGACAGAGCGGCACCACGCCCCUUUUAGCUUCUGCCGGCGCUCCCAGACGACCCUCGGGCGCUUGGGAUCGCCGACUGUUAUUUCGGCCCAAACCGGCGCUAAAUGAGAUUUUGGGGUGCUACUAGCCCAAUUUUUGGCCGCCGGCGCUAAGAAAACUCCUACACUUGUAGGGUCUGUUGGGGGUGUGACUGGAGAUGCUCUCACGAACGAUGCUUCAUAACUGGUAGUAGUAGCACAUCACAGGAUCCCGUAUCCGAAUUAUCAGCGAAAAGAAGCAUCAAUCAGCAAGGUAUCUCCCGGGCUGCAAAGCUACGCAUGUUACCGGACCUAAUUUCAGGAUCCCGAGAGCCCAAUAAUGAUAACCUAAUUUCCACAUCAGCACACAAGUCGACAUGUACCGGCCCAAGAACGACGAAUUGUUCUUUGCGAAAUCGACAGUGAGUAGUACAUGAUGUGAUGCCGAUCGAUGCAAAUGCUAAUGGGAGUGUCAAGUGGAGGCAACCACCAAAAGCCGGCCAUAAUGGUGGCGGUAAGUGCAGUUAAGGUUGACAAUGCCGUGCCGACUUUCUUGCGGGCGUUUCCACGGCGGCGAAACGGUCCGGCGAUCGACCACCAGACCCGGACUUUUAAGCAACCAUCAGCAAUCACCAUCAGGGCUUUCCAGUCGGCAAAUAAACAACGAGCUCCAUCGGCUCCAGCAGAGUCCGUCCGGCACUGCUGGAGCACUUAUGAUUUUUAAACCUAACUAUCAGGAUCAUCAUCCCCUAUUCUUUAGGGAAAUGGUUGUCACUCGUGGCACACAGUUGCCUUGUGCUUAUGUCCGCUUGCCUUUUUUUUCUUUUGCGAAGAAAAAUCGCAAAAGGAUAAAACAAACAUAUCCUGCCAGUGCAGUGCACACGAAGACACGCUAAGAAUGCAGCGAAUGACGCUGAAGCAUGUGCCAUGGAUUUGGAUGCAAGGGAAAUCUUUGCCUUUGGUGGUGCUAUCCUCAUCCCGGACAUGUAACAAGAAACGGAGUCUGUCUGUGAACUCGUGCUGGUGGGUUCGUGGAAAGAAUGGACGAAAAGCAAAGCGAAGGAGCAGAGGGAUGUAGAGCUCACACCGGCGAACACGACUGUUCUUCAACAUUUAUGCAAGUGUUUUCUGAUUGGCAGCACCUUUAGAUCAAUAUACAUGGGAGAGAACCAUUAACACUGCGGGGAACUAAGGUCAUCUCCACGCUGACCUUUAAACUGGACACUGUAUUUGCGCAAGCCAGCCAUCCAACCAUAGCCGCAAACAUCCGCCUCUGUUUUUUUAAAGCCCGCAAGCUCUAAAUAACUGCAUAUCAAAUCCUAGUCUAUCUAAAAAUGUUUAAAUGUGAUAGUACUUCUAAUUUAAAUAUUACAAUCCAACAAAGUUUUUAAAUUAAAGUAGUUCAAGCUUGAAUUCAACUAGCACAUAUGUACUCGUUGUCCGCUUCAACCGCCUAUAGAUGCUCAAUCAAAUCUUUCGUCAGUUGCUUGAUUCCGAAUUUGUUGAUGCAUUUAAACAAACUCAUCAAACAUGACCGAUUCUACUCUGGAAGUUCGAUAGAAUCACCCAUGUUCUCAAAUUUAAGAGCUGAGGCAGCAUACUACCCUCAUCCUCCACGAUUAUCUUGUGCAUGAUCACACAACAGGCCAUCAUCUCCCACAAGGUCUCUGGAUCCCAUUGUUGUCCAGGUCCACGAACAACUGCAAAACGGGCCUGGAGAACUCCAGAUGCCCUCUCCACAUCUAGCUGCUUCUUGUCUUUGGGCAAAGUGAGACUGUCGGUGUCAAAAUCGGCGGAUCUCGGGUAGGGGGUCCCGAACUGUGCGUCUAGGCGGAUAAUAACAGGAGACAAGGGACACGAUGUUUUUACCCAGGUUCGGGCCCUCUCGGUGGAGGUAAAACCCUACUCCUGCUUGAUUAAUAUUGAUGAUAUGAGUAGUACAAGAGUUGAUCUACCACGAGAUCAGAGAGGCUAAACCCUAGAAUCUAGCCUAUGGUAUGAUUGUUGUUCGUCCUACGGACUAAAACUCUCCGGUUUAUAUAGACACCGGAGAGGGCUAGGGUUACACAGAGUCGGUUAGAAUGGGAGGAGAUCUUCAUAUCGUAUCGCCAAGCUUGCCUUCCACGCCAAGGAAAGUCCCUAUCCGGACACGGGACGAAGUUUUCAAUCUUGUAUCUUCAUAGUCCGGUAGUCCGGCCAAAGGUCAUAGUCCGGCCAUCCGGACACCCCCUAAUCUAGGACUCCCUCAGUAGCCCCUGAACCUGGCUUCAGUGACGACGAGUCCGGCGCGCAAAUUGUCUUCGGCAUUGCAAGGCGGGUUCCUCCUCCGAAUACUUCAUAGAAGAUGUUGAACACGAGGAUAGUGUCCGGCUUUGCAAAAAUAAGUUCCACAUACCACCGUAUAGAGAAUAAUAUCUGCACAAAUCUAAUCUGCCGACGUAUUCCGCAACGUGACAUCACGCCGCAGUCAAGCCUUCAUUCGAAUCGUUUUACUGUUCCACCUUAGCGCGUUUAGCGAGGCGGUUUCCUUGGCACGUCUUGUCGAAGCAGAGAUCGUGUCCCCUUAUUCCGGGAUUCUCAUCAAUACGGGCGUGGGUAACCCAACUGCGCCAUUAACCGUGGCGCUUGGGGGAUAAGCGAGUUUUAUUAGGCCGGCAGGGGCUUGUAGUUUCGGCUGCCCAUAUAAGGGGAUAAGGAUCUACCCUUUCCAUUCACGCCUCCUUCCUCCUUUGCUUAUCCCUUCUUGCGUACUCGAGCUCCAGCGCCCAAGCCCACACACCUCGCCUCGACCUUCUCCAAACAUGUCCGGAGCGGGAGGCAAGUGGAUGGCCUCCUCCGUCACGGAGGGGCACAUCAAAAGGUUGCGGAAAGCCGGAUAUCUGCACAACGACAUUGCGCACCGGCUUCCAGACGAGGGGCAGCUCAUCCCCACCCUUAGGCCCCAUGAGAGGGUUGUAUUUCUUCCCCACUUCCUCCGUGGACUGGGCUUUCCUCUUCACCCGUUCGUCCGGGGGCUCAUGUUCUAUUACGGCCUGGACUUCCAUGAUCUGGCCCCGAACUUCAUCCUCAACAUCUCGGCGUUUAUCAUCGUGUGCGAGGCCUUCCUCCGCAUCGAGCCCCACUUUGGCCUAUGGCUGAAGAUUUUCAGCGUCAAGCUGAAGGUCGUGGGCGGACGCCAAGCGGAGUGCGGAGGCGCCAUGGUGGGUAAGAUAGCCAACGUUACAUGGCUCGAGGGCGCCUUCGUAGAGACCAUCAAGGAGUGGCAAUCGGGGUGGUUCUAUAUCACCGAGCCGCGUGACCCUGAAUGGGCAGCGACCCCCGAAUUCCGAUCUGGCAUCCCCACGCGGCUCACAUCUUGGAAAGAGACGGGCCUGUCGUGGGGUAAUUCGGCAGAAGUGACCGAACUCCAAACCUGCAUCAAGGACCUGAUCGGCAGGAAGGUUAAACUUGUCAACGUGGUCCAGGUCAUGCUCUUCCGCCGGAUUCUCCCGUGUCAACGACGGGCUUUCAAUUUGUGGGAGUUCGACCCAGCCCAGCACUAGACUCUGUCCUGGCUCUUCGACACAAAGCAUGAAGAUGCCUGGAAGGUGCUAUUCAAGAGCUCCGAGGUCUCCCCUCCCGUCACCGAGGAUCGCGGAUUCUGCGCCAAGCGCCAAGCCAGCGCGGUGAGCUUACUUUUCCCAUUUCGGGGUAUUCUGUUUCACAUGGUUUAACUCUAUGCGGGAUCUAAACUCCCAUACCUUUGACAGGACUGGCUGAAGAAGUCCGGGCAGGUCAACUAUCCGGCUCCUUUGCCUGAAGACCCAGUGGAUGCUCGUCUAACCAAGCCACUGGUUCCGUCACCUCACAUGGUGCCGGAGAAGAAGGUCAAGAAGAAGACCACGGGGACUCGAAAGAGCUCCCGGCACCUGGUUGUGUCAAAUUCAUCGCCUGACAGCCCCGAAGCCCCCUCCGCCUCUGAAGACGAGGAGGAGGAAGAAGAAGAAGAAGCCUCUCCCCCUCCAACGGGGGAAGGAAAUAAAAGGAAGGCCGCCCCAACUGGGGAGGCCGGAGGGUCCAAGAAGGGGAAAACCCUUCUGCCGGACUACGCCUCCGAUGCCGAAGACGGCGGGGAGGAAUGGCCAUCCAGGGUCAAGCCCCUGGCAAAAUCGUAAGUGUCCGGUUACCCGAAUGAUUUUACGGCGCUCCUCUAGUAUUCGGUAAUUUCUAAUGCUGAAUUUAAUUACGCAGUCCGCCCAGAGCUCAGCUCGGUGAUUCGUCGAGCGGCUCCCUAGAUUCAUCGGAUGUGAACAACGCUUCACUUCCAACGGCCUCCUCCCCUCUCCCUACGGACGACGCCGAGGUGGGGUCCCGAAGGGGACCGAACCAGGAGGAGGUGGUCCUGGAGGCGCCUCAAUGCGACCUCCCGGACUCCAGGCCCAAAGGGGGUAAAGCCCCAAGGGGAUCUAAGUCCGGCCCCGGGCCGGACACUGCUCCGGAACCAUCAACGGUUCCAGAGUCCGACAGGCGGCGCCUUCAUAAGAAGGGCAAGCCUACGACGCCGGCGACCUCCGUCCACCCGGAGGCGCCGGAUAAUGUGCAGGAGGUGCUUAACGGCACCUCCAUCGACGAGGAACACCGCACUAUUAUGAGUGCGGUGAUUCAAAAGGUUCAGUCCGCAAAGAGCGGGCUGGCAGAAGUCUGUACAAGUCUGUCAACAAGCUUUGAGGUAUGUGUUCAAAUCAUAUAAAAAUGUUUACCGCAUAGACAGUAGCCCCUGAUGCUCGGUUCGGCGUUCGGAAAGAAAAGCCGAGCUAAGGAUCUAAAAAGAUAUACGCAGGAGUCUGACAUAAAUGUGUCAAUAUGGGAAUGCAGGCUGCGCUGCUGACCUCUGUCGCACUGACUACGGAGGUUAAAGCAUUAAAGGAGAGCCUCGAUCGGUCCGAGAACGAGCUCGGCUGUGCCAAGAAGCAGCUCGAGGACAAGGAGGGUAUGUAGUACCGUAUGUAAAUGUAUAUAGAAAUACUUGGUUGCAGAUAAUGAUAGGACCAACGUAAAUGUUGCAGGGGCCACGACCGAUUUGGCGACCCUGAAGGAAGCGGUCUCCAAGGCCGAAAAUAGUGCGGCCUUGGAGCGCACUGAGCGAGAGAAGCAGGAGGCGCGGGUGGCGGAGGUGCAGCAAGAGCUCCAGGCUCUCGUGAAAAAACACGAGAGUUUGGAGCGUGACUCGAAGACUCGAGAGUCCGAGCUCGCCUUGGCUCUUGAGAGUGCCAAAACCGCUAAGGCCGAAGCCUGGAAUGCCCUCCAGGAGAUCGAGGCGAUGAAGAAGAUAGCGACGGGUAAGGCAUUCUUUAUGCAAAGCAAGAAUAUAAAAGUAAAUUAUCUGUUACUUACCCGGAUCCGGAGCUCUCUAGGAGCAUUCGCCGAUCUGCCCCGUAGUGUGUCUGAUGCUGCUGCGUUCUACCGAGCCGAGGAGGGGAGCUCGAUGGAAAAGGUGUUCUGGUCUCAGUAUGCUGAGGCCGGACAUCCGGUGCCCCUGAGCGACCAGCUGAAGCAGCUAAUCGAGCUCCAUAAGGUGGCCGAACAGGCCAUGAAGGGCCUCAUAGUUUGGCUGUGGCCUGGAGAGGCCAUGCCUGGGAGCUAUUUCGGUCUGGUGCGGCGGCUGGUGGACGCGUGUCCGUGGAUUGAAGUCAUCAAGCGCUCCGUCUGUAUUGAAGGUGCCCGUCGGGCCCUUGCCCGCGCUAAAGUGCACUGGGGCAAGCUGGACGCUGAGAAGCUUGUGACGGACCCGCCACCAUCGGGCAAGGAGUAUCGCACGCCCGAGAUGUAUUAUAAGGGCGUCCUGAAGGGUGCCCGCAUUAUAGCGGGUGAGUGCUCCAAAGAUGUAAUUUCUGAGUAGACUCUUAUGUUGUUAUCUUGUGCGCUGAAAACUUUGUUCAUAUGCGCUAAGCAACGCUUGUUAAUUUAAAAUACUACCUUCUGUGCGGCCGUUUAUUAAAUCUGAGAGAUGCAAGUCGUCGGCUUCUACCCCCAUGCCACGAGUGCUGGGGUGUUCGGGAUAAACCUGAGCGCUCUUGUUCCCUUCUUGGGUCCAUCUAGGGAGGCGCUCAGCACGACGAACCAGGCCAUCGGACUUAUAUUGCUUUAUCACUCUCACUUAGCCAUAGAAUUCUAUAAUUUUAAAUUUCGGCGAAGCCCCUAGUAUUCGGAAGACCGAGUUUGGGGCGCUAUCCACGCCUUGGCCAGGUAAAUCCGGCUCCUCGCUCUAAGCGGCAUAAGUCUUUAAGGACUCGAAAAACCUCGCAAACAGCGACCGGUCUCUCGCACUAUCAUGACGGUCAGUUUUAGCUUUCUCUACUGAGGUGUUAACCCAGCUCAACUGGGACACAAUCGCAGUAGUUCUCCUAGCGCUACCUUAGCCAACAUUGCGGAACGUAAGGUACCAAAACAUGGGAGCCGGGCAAACCCAACUAUUGACCCAAGACAUGAUUCGGAGCCGAUGCAUAUAGUGCUAUAAGUUCGGGGUGCCGCACUCAUGAGAGUGUGCGGUCUUCUCACACCAUGUUAUGGGGUGCUUAAGCCCCUAGUGUAUUGGCCGUACCAAAGUGUACGGUUUGCAUAAUGUCAUGACUGAACAUAUUUGUAUAAAAGUAGAUGAAUACAAUAAUAGAUAAGAGCUAUGUAUUGUUUAUUAAAAAAGAGCUGCUAUGAAAGCAGAACGAUACAAAUAGUGCGAUAAGCAAGGGAUGGGAUUAUUUGACAUGUCCCCCUCUAGGGGCAAGCUGCGUAAAUUUAAGCAAAAUGGGUAUUUAGCUCGUUAUAGAGACCACCUGGACAUACGACGCAGCUUGUUCGCGCCCUGGCUGUUGCAUCGUGUGUUCGGCGAGUUUAUUGCCAGACAGGCCUUCCGGAUAGUUGGGUCCUAAAAGUAUAUAUAUAAAAAAAGAAAACGGCAAAAUAGGGAGCCCCUAAGUGCGGUUGAGCCACAUUCUGGGCGUGCCGUAGUUGUGACCCUCCCCUUAUGCCCAUGGUAUUUUCAAAGUGUAAUUAUGUAUGCGUGGUACCGAUAGCACCAUCUGGCGAGGGCUGGGGUUGGGGCCGCACUGCUAUGCUUGCUCGGAUCAUGCCGGCCGGCGCUGUUGUAGGUUGCUUCGGGCGCGCUUGACGUUGUCCGGACGUUUGACACCCGGAUUGGAGAGUUGUCUUGGGAGGCUGCUCUAUACUUCCGCCGCUAGGGCCGCUGUGUGCUCCUCCGUUCGGAGAGAGCGUUUGGUGUUUCCAUUUACCGUGAUGACUCCGCGAGGGCCUGACAUCUUGAGCUUGAGAUAUGCGUAGUGCGGCACCGCAUUGAAUUUUGCAAAUGCGGUUCGUCCGAGCAGGGCGUGAUAGCCACUGCGGAAUGGGACUAUGUCGAAGAUUAACUCUUCGCUUCGGAAAUUAUCCAGGGAUCCGAAGACCACUUCAAGUGUAACCGAGCCUGUACAGCUGGCUUCUACACCUGGUAUGACGCCUUUAAAGGUUGUCUUUGUGGGUUUAAUCCUUGACGGCUCUAUACCCAUUUUUCGCACUGUAUCUUGAUAAAGCAGGUUCAGGCUGCUGCCGCCGUCCAUGAGGACUCUAGUGAGGUGAAAUCCGUCAAUGAUUGGGUCUAGGACCAAUGCGGCGAAUCCGCCGUGACGGAUGCUAGUGGGGUGGUCCCUUCGACCAAAAGUGAUCGGGCAGGAGGACCAUGGGUUGAACUUUGGGGCGACUGGCUCCAACGCAUAGACGUCCUUGAGGGCACGCUUCCGCUCCCUUUUGGGGAUGUGGGUUGCGUAUAUCAUGUUCACCGUCCGCACUUGCGGGGGGAAGCCCUUCUGUCCUCUGUUGUUCGGCGGCCAGGGCUCCUCCUCGUCAUCGCUAUGCAGCCCCUUGUCUCUGGUUUCAACACUUAACUUGCCUGCCUGCUUGAACACCCAACAAUCCCUAUUGGUGUGGUUGGUUGGUUGUUCGGGGGUGCCGUGUAUCUGGCACGAGCGAUCAAGUAUACAGUCUAAGUUGGAUGGGCCCGGAGGGUUUCUUUUGAAUGGCUUCUUCCACUGACCGGGUUUAGAGCCUCUGAAUCCGGCAUUGACUGCCGUAUCUUCGGUAUUGUCGCCAUUAAUGCGGUGCUUGUGCUUGUUGCGACGUGACCUGCCAUUGUUGUCCUUGGUAUCCGAAUUGCCAGGGCUCUUGGUUAUGUUAUUGCUACGAGCUAGCCAGCUGUCUUUGCCCACGCAAAAGCGGGUCAUGAGUGUCGUGAGGCUGCCAUAGAUUUCGGCUUUUCCUGUCCUAGGUGCCGGGCAAGCCAUUCAUCUCGGAUGUUGUGCCUGAAGGCUGCAAGGGCCUCGGCGUCCGGACAGUCGACUAUUUGAUUUUUCUUGGUUAGGAACCGUGUCCAGAAUUGUCUGGCCGAUUCCUCUGGCUGCUGGAAUAUGUGGCUUAGGUCAUCGGAGUCUGGUGGUCGCACAUAAGUGUCCUGGAAGUUAUCGAGGAAUGCGGAUUCCAGGUCCUCCCAGCAACUUAUUGACUCUGCUGGCAGGCUGUUAAGCCAAUGCCGAGCUGGUCCUUUAAGCUUGAGCGGGAGAUAUUUGAUGGCGUGUAGAUCAUCACCACGGGCCAUGUGGAUAUGAAGGAGAUAAUCCUCGAUCCAUACCGCGGGAUCGGUUGUGCCAUCGUAUGAUUCGAUGUUUACGGGUUUAAAACCCUCGGGGAUCUGAUGAUCCAUUACUUCGUCUGUGAAGCACAGUGAGUGUGCGGCGCCCCUGUACUGGGCUAUAUCGCGACGUAGCUCGGAUGAGAUUUGUCUGUUGUAUUCGGCCUGGUCGUAUUUAUCAUAUCCGGCGUGACGGUAAUCGUCCCGUGAUGUGGGGCGCCCACGCGAUCCGUAGAUCGAUCUGGUUUGCUUUGCCUUAUCCUCCAAUAUAUCUCGCAGGUCUGUUGCGUUUCCCCGUGCUCUGGUAUUUUUAGAGCGGCGCCGGGGUGCGGCUUGGAUUGAGGGCCAAAAGGCCUCUCUGUCGCGGCCACGGGGUGGCCGAUCGGGCGCAUCGUAUGCUGGUGAUGUAGGUUUGGUUGCUUCCUCCUAUAGUUGGGGUAGCAGCCUGCGCUUUGGGUAACUUUUGGAGGGGCGCUCGAGUUUAUACUCUUCGGCCGCCAGGACUUCAGUCCAUCUGUCGGCUAGCAGAUCUUGGUCAGCUUUAAGCUAUUGCUGUUUUUUCUUGAGGCUGCUUGCCAUGGCCAUAAGCCUGCGUUUGAAACGCUCUUGUUCGACGAGAUCCUCUGGCACGACGAAUUCGUCGUCGUCGAGGCUUGCCUCGUCUUUAGAGGGAGGCAUAUAAUUUUCGUCCUCGACCUCUAUGCCUGCCGCUCUCUUAUGAGGGCUGGCUCCUUCGUCCUCCCGCGCUGAAUCCUGCUGGAGGGGGUUGUCUUCGGCACUGUCCGGAGUGUUGACGUCUCCGGUGCCGGGUUCGCCGUUCUUGCUUUGGCGGGAUUUAGAGCGGCGCCGCUGACGUCGACGCUUGGGUUUCUUCUUGGAGGGGUCAUCCUCCGCUUUUUCAUCGCGGUCCCCUGCUUUGGGGGUGUCUACCAUGUAUAUGUCAUAUGACGAGGUGGCCUUCCAGUGCCCUAUAGGUGCUGGUUCUUGGUCGUCUCCCGCAUCGGCGUCCAUACCGUCGAUGUCUUUGGAGUCGAAGUCGAGCAUGUCAGUUAGAUCGUCGACAGUGGCUACAAAGUGGGUGGUGGGUGGGCUUUGAAUUUCCUCGUCGUCCGCAUCCCAACCCUGCUGACCAUAGUCCGGCCAGGGCUCUCCUGACAAAGAGAGCGACUUUAGUGAAUCCAGGAUAUCACCAAAGGGCGAGUGCUGAAAGACGUCCGCGGCGGUGAACUCCAUGAUCGGAGCCCAAUCGGGUUCGAUCGGAAGGGGUGCAGAAUAUUCGGAGUCCGGAACGGAGUCCGGCACCUUGGAGUCACAGGCCUUGCAAAGGACUAGGCUGGUAUUUGGCUCUAUCGCCGUAGAGAUUGCGGCUUCCGGGGCGGCGUCCAACCGUCCGUCCCUGACUAGCGCAGUUGGCUCCGAGCUAAUGGUCGGAGCGGACACCUGAGAGGAACUCUGGGCGCUGUCCGGCGGCAGAGCUAGAUCAUGCCCAUCGAGACAGUGUGGCUGGCUCGGCCACGGCUCGAAUCCAUCGAAGAUCAAGUCCCCGCGGAUGUCGGCCGUGUAGUUUAGGCUUCCAAACCUGACCUGAUGGCCAGGGACGUAGCUUCCGUUCUGCUCCAAAUGGCCAAGCGAGUUGGCCCGCAGUGCGAAGCCGCCGAAUACGAAGAUCUGUCCGGGGAGAAAAGUCUCACCCUGGACCGCAUCGUGGUUGACGAUCGAAGAAGCCAUCGGGCCUAAAGGUGACGACACAGAGGAACUCUCAAUGAAAGCACCAAUGUCGGUGUCAAAACCGGCGGAUCUCGGGUAGGGGGUCCCAAACUAUGCGUCUAGGCGGAUGGUAACAGGAGACAAGGGACACGAUGUUUUUACCUAGGAUCGGGCCCUCUCGGUGGAGGUAAAACCCUACUCCUGCUUGAUUAAUAUUGAUGAUAUGGGUAGUACAAGAGUUGAUCUACCACGAGAUCAGAGAGGCUAAACCCUAGAAUCUAGCCUAUGGUAUGAUUGUUGUUCGUCCUACGGACUAAAACUCUCCGGUUUAUAUAGACACCGGAGAGGGCUAGGGUUACACAGAGUCGGUUACAAUGGGAGGAUAUCUUCAUAUCGUAUCGCCAAGCUUGCCUUCCAUGCCAAGGAAAGUCCCUAUCCGGACACGGGACGAAGUCUUCAAUCUUGUAUCUUCAUAGUCCGGGAGUCCGGCCAAAGGUCAUAGUCCGGCUAUCCGGACACCCCCUAAUCCAGGACUCCCUCAGAGACCUUUUUCAACCAAGUGGCUCAACGGUGGUCUUGACAAAGGUUGCCCAAGGAGGAUAGAUAGUGUCAACCAUAUGGUAGUCCAUUUUGUAUUCAUGGUUAUUGAUAGUAUAGUUGCAAGGAGGAGCUUUACCUCCAAUCAGCCUAGCAAACAAUGGAGAUCGCGGCAGCACAUUGAUGUCAUUGUGAGACCUGGGCAUGCCAAAGAGAGCAUGUCAAAUCCAGACAUCCUACGAUGCAACUGCUUCAAGAAUGAUAGUGGGCUUCUUAACAUGACCCUGAUAUUUCCCUUGUAGAGCUCUUGGGUAGUUCUUCCAUCUCUACUGCAUGCAAUCAAGAGAUUCGAGCAAACCGGGUCACCUCUUGCUUUAGACAUUGCCAAGAUCGUCUCAGUGAAAACCCUAACGGACCCCAACACCAAAACAAGUCAAAGAUAAUGCUUCACUUGCAAAGGACAUGGCCACAAGACAUUUGAGUGUCUGACAAGAAGGACCAUGAUCCUCAAUGCGAUGGCUAGUAUGACUCCAUGAGCGAAGAAUACAUGGAAGCUUUGGGGAACGUGACUAUGCAUCGUUAAGUGAAAGAAGUUGAAGAUGCUCAAUUUUUUUGGCAAAAGUAAUUCGAGCCCGCUCUUGUUUUCCGAAAUAUUUUGACACUUCAACGACAACAAGAUGAAUACCAAUGAUGCCACAUCUUCCAUACCAAAGUGGUAAUUCAAGGAAGAUCCAUCAAAGUCAUCAUAGAUGGAGGAAGUUGCCACAACUUGGCUAGUGACACUACUGCAGGAUGGUCCAAACGCGACAGUCCAAUCAGAGACCGUUCAACGAAACUGUGUAUGAUGCAUUAAUCACAAACGGUGAUGUAAUUAAACCGUCAAAAACAUACAAUACGUUUGCGAUCGCAGAUACAUCAAACACGAUUCAGAUUAGAAUUGCGUGUGCGAUGCAUGUCAUACAGUUAAUCCAGCAAAACUGUUUGCGAUGAGGCAGAACAAUAGAAACGGGCAGCCAGAUGAAGGUGUGUGCGAUAUACGGCAUACAGUUAACUCGGAUGAACUGUUAGCGUUGAGCCAAGAGAACAGAAAUGGUUCAACUUAAUAAGAUGUGUGUGGUACGUGGCAAACAUGUCUGUAAUCAAAAAUGUGUGCGAAGACCGAUAAUAACACAUAUGAUUGCUGCUAAUAAGCCGUGUGUGUUGUGGGCAAACGCGUCCUGGUAUACAAUUGUCAGCGAUUGAUGAAUUCAUCACCAACAGUUUCCCUAGUAUGUUUUGUGUGCGAUGUUAUUGCAUACAGAACAACAAUAUAGAUACUAAUAAGGACAUGAUUGCACAAUCAAAUUAAACAUCCAAUUACAUAGGUGGCUAGUACACACAUGACAUUUCCAUACACCAAAAUAAACUAUUACAUGCAUAAUUAACUAGGAUAAAUGAUCAUCUGAUCAUCAUCUAUUUAUUCUUGUGACGCUUGCCGCCACUGCUCUAUUAGGAUAGACGGAACAAUAUUCUUUACUGUGAAUAGUGUGCUCUAUUGGCACACAAGUAUAUGGAUCAUACCCUUGGGCGAGCAAUGUGCCCGCACGCAUCGUGCUAGCUCGAUGUUCCUUCUAUGCUAAGUCUCCAUUAAUUGAUGGCAAUUUAUAAACACGCCACCGUUUCCUGCCAUUUCCUCGUCAGUUUCCCGCCACCACCCAGCGAUAUUGCGCAUAAACCUAGGUGGCGCGCGCCGCAUCGAGGCAACAAGCACAGCCUGUAGCACAUGCACCUUUUCCAAGCAUGCCAACCCACUAAAGCGCCGCCUCUGCCAUCAACCUCCUCAACGAGAAAAACGAGAAGGCGGCACGGCCCGUCGAGGCUGAGGCACUCCCCGGCAACAUGAUGGACGACGCCGUGCUAUGCGUCAUCGCCAGGGUUGAGCAGACCCUUGGAGCAUAGUGCUUCAGCACCGCGGAUCAAGAUAGGCAUGCCAGCACCGAGAGGUUGCAGCUCUCCGCACAACAUGAUCAAUGGUGCGCCGCAGAGUGCUACGUCUUGAGCUUGCGUUGGUUUUCCUUGAAGAGGAAAGGGUGAUGCAACAAUAGUAGCGUAAGUAUUUCCCUCAGUUUUUGAGAACCAAGGUAUCAAUCCAGUAGGAGGCUCCUCAAAAGUCCCAUGCACCUACACAAACAAACAAAGAACUCGCAACCAAGGCAAUAAAGGGGUUGUCAAUCCCUUCACGGCCACUUGCGAAAGUGAGAUCUGAUAGAGAUAGUAUGAUAAGAUAAAUAUAUUUUUGGUAUUUUAUAAUAUAGAUGCAAAAAGUAAAGAUGCAAAUAAAAGUAGAUUGGAAGCAAAUAUGAUAAGAGAUAGACCCGGGGGCCAUAGGUUUCACUAGAGGCUUCUCUCAAGAUAGCAUAAGUAUUACGGUGGGUGAACAAAUUACUGUCGAGCAAUUGAUAGAAAAGUGAAUAAUUAUGAGAUUAUCUAGGCAUGAUCAUGUAUAUAGGCAUCACGUCCGCAACAAGUAGACCGACUCCUGCCUGCAUCUACUAUAUUACUCCACACAUCGACCGACUCCUACCAGCAUCUAGAGUAUUAAGUUCAUAAGAACAGAGUAAUGCCUUAAUCAAGAUGACAUGAUGUAGAGGGAUAAACUCAUGCAAUAUGAUAUAAACCCCAUCUUUUUAUCCUCGAUGGCAACAAUACAAUACGUGCCUUGCAACCCCUGCUGUCACUGGGUAAGGACACCGCAAGAUUGAACCCAAAGCUAAGCACUUCUCCCAUGGAAACAAAGAUCAAUCUAGUAGGCCAAACCAAACUGAUAAUUCAAAGAGACUUGCAAAGAUAACUCAAUCAUACAUAAAAGAAUUCAGAGGAGAUUCAAAUAUUUCUCAUAGAUAAACUUGAUCAUAAACCCACAAUUCAUCGGAUCUCAACAAACACACCGCAAAAAGAGUUUACAUCGAAUAGAUCUCCACAAGAGAGGGGGAGAACAUUGUAUUGAGAUCCAAAAAGAGAGAAGAAGCCAUCUAGCUAAUAACUAUGGACCCGGAGGUCUGUGGUAAACUACUCACAACUCAUCGGAGGGGCUAUGGUAUUGAUGUAGAAGCCCUCCAUGGUCGAUUCCCCCUCGGGCGGAGCGCCGGCGAAGGCUCCAAGAUGGGAUCUCGCGGAUACAGAAGGUUACGGCGGUGGAAAUUGUGUUUCGCUGGCUCCCUGGAUGUUUUCGGGGUACGUAGGCUUAUAUAGGAGGAAGAAGUACGUCGGUGGCCGCCCGAGGGGCCCACGAGAUAGGGGGCGCGCUAUGUAGGGGGGGUGCGCCCUAUCCUCUCGUGGACGCCUCGGCUGCUUCUUGACUUGCACUCCAAGUCCUCUGGAUCAUGUUCGUUCCAAAAAUCACGCUCCCGAAGGUUUCAUUCCGUUUGGACUCCGUUUGAUAUUCCUUUUCUCGAAAUACUGAAAUAGGCAAAAAAAUAGCAAUACAGGCUGGGCCUCCGGUUAGUAGGUUAGUCCCAAAAAUGAUAUAAAUGUGUAAAAUAAAGCCCAUAAACAUCCAAAAGGGGUAAUAUAAUAGCAUGGAACAAUCAAAAAUUAUAGAUACGUUGGAGACGUAUCAAGCAUCCCCAAGCUUAAUUCCUGCUCGUCCUCGAGUAGGUAAAUGAUAAAAACAGAAUUUUUGAUGUGGAAUGCUACCUAGCAUAAUUCUCAAUGUAAUUUUCUUUAUUGUGGCAUGAACGUUCAGAUCCAAAAUGAUUCAAAAUAAAAGGUCAUAUUGAUAAAAGAAAUAGUAACACUUCAAGCAUACUAAUUAAAGUAAUCAUGUCUUCUCAAAAUAACGUGGCAAAAGAAAGUUCAUCCCUACAAAAUCAUAUAGUUAGGCUAUGCUUCGUUUUCGUCACACAAAGAUGUUCCCAACUUCUAUACCCCCGAUGACAAGCCAAGCAAUUGUUUCACACUUAAAUAAUCUCAAACCUUUUCAACCUUCAUGCAAUAUAUGAGCGUGAGCCAUGGAUAUAGCACUAUGGGUGGAAUAGAAUAUGAUGAUGGGGAUUGUGUGGAGAAGACAAAAAAGGAGAAAGUCUCACAUUGACGAGGAUAAUCAACGAGCUAUGGAGAUGCCCAUCAAUUGAUGUCAACAUGAGGAGUAGGGAUUGCCAUGCAACGGAUGUACUAGAGCUAUAAAUGAAUGCUCAACAAAAGAAAACUAGUGGGUGUGCAUCCAACUUGCUUGCUCACGAAGACCUAGGGCAUUUGAGGAAGCCCAUUGUAGGAAUAUACAAGCCAAGUUCUAUAAUGAAAAAUUCCCACUAGUAUGAAAAAGACAACUUAUGAGACUCAAUAUAUGAAAAACAUGGUGCUACUUUGAAGCACAAGUGUGGAAAAAGAGAUAGUAACAUUGCCUCUUUUAUUAGUUUUUUCUUUUUUUUUUAUUUGGCCCUUUUUUUUCUUUUGGCCUUUCUUUUUUUUCUUCUUCCUUUUCUUUUUGGGCAAUGCUCUAAUAAUGAUGAUCAUCACACUUUCAUUGAUUACAACAUAUGAAUUACAACUCGAAACUAGAACAAGAUAUAACUCUAUAUGAAUGCUUCCGGUAGUGUACCGGGAUGGUGCAAUGAAUCAAGAGUGACAUGUAUGAAAAUUAUGCAUGGUGGCUUUGCCACAAAUACGAUGUCAACGACAUGAUCAUGCAAUGGCAAUAUGACAAAAGUAAAGUAUGUCAUGAUGAUGAUGAACGGAACGGUGGAAAGUUGCCUGGCAAUAUAUCUCGGAAUGGCUAUGGAAAUGCCAUAAUAGGUAGGUAUGGUGGCUGUUUUGAGGAAGAUAUAAGGAGGUUUAUGUGUGAUAGAGCGUAUCGUAUCACGGGGUUUGGAUGCACCGGCAAAGUUUGCACCAACUCUCAAGGUGAGAAAGGGCAAUGCACGGUACCGAAGAGGCUAGCAAUGGUGGAAAGGUAAAAGUGCGUAUAAUCCAUGGACUCAACAUUAGUCAAAAGAACUCAUAUACUUAUUGCAAAAAUUUAGAAGUCAUCAAAAAUCAAGCACUACACACAUGCUCCUAGGGGGAUAGAUUGGUAGGAAAAGACCAUCGCUCGUCCCCGACCGCCACUCAUAAGGAUGCACAAGCCAGGUACACUUCAUGUUUCAUAUUUGUUACACAACUUUAACCUUACGUGCAUGCUACGGGACUUGCUAACUUCAACACAAGCAUUAUUUAAAUUCAUAAUCACUAAACUAGCAUGACUUUAAUAUCACUACCUCCAUAUCUCAAAACAAUUAUCAAGUAUCAAAUUGAUCAUAGCAUCCAAUUCACUUCCUAUGAUAGUUUUUAUUAUACCCAACUUGGAUACCUACCAUUCUAGGACCAAUUUUAUAACCGUAGCAAAUACCAUGCUGUUCUAAAAGACUCUAAAAAUAAUAUAAGUGAAGCAUGAGAGACUAGCAAUUUCUACAAAAAUAAGUCACCGUCGUGUUCUAAAAGUUAUAAGUGAAGCACUAGAGCAAAAACUAUCAAGCUCAAAAGAUAUAAGUGAAGCACAUAGAGUAUUCUAGCAAAUUCAAAUCAAGUAGGCUUCUCCCAAAAGGUGUGUACAGCAAGGAUGAUUGUGGUAAAAUAAAAAGCAAAGACUAAUAUAAUACACGACGCUUCAAGCAAAACACAUAUCAUGUGGCGAAUAAAAAUAUAGCUCCAAGUAAAGUUACCAAUGAACGAAGACGAAAGAGGGGAUGCCUUCCCGGGGCAUCCCCAAGCUUAGGAUUUUGGCUAUCCUUGAAUAUCUUGGGGUGCCAUGGGCAUCCCCAAGCUUAGGCUUUUGCCACUCCUUUUCCAUAGUCCAUCAAAGCUUUACCCAAAACUUGAAAACUUCACAACACAAAACUCAACAUGAAAUCUUAUAAGAUCCGUUAGUGAAAGAAAACAAAACCACCACAUAAGGUACUGUAAUGAACUCAUUCUUUAUUUAUUUUGGUGUUAAACCUACUGUAUUCCAACUUCUAUAUGGUUUAUAAACUAUUUUACUAGCCAUAGAUGCAUCAAAAUAAGCAAACAACACACGAAAAACAGAAUCUGUCAAAAACAGAACAGUCUAUAGCAAUCUGUAACUAACGCAAACUUCUGGAACUCUAAAAAUCCUACCAAAAUAGUAAGUCCUGGAAAAUUUGUCUAUUGAUCAUCAUAAAAAAGAAUAAACGCAAAAGCACGUUUCUGUGAUUUAACAAAAGUAAAUUCGUGCGCGCAAAGUUUCUGUUUUUCAGCAGAAUCAAAUCAACUAUCAUCAUAGGUUAUCCUAUAGGUUCUACUUGGCACAAACACUAAUUAAAAGAUAAAAACACAUCUAAACAGAAGGUAGAUGCAAAAUUUAUUACUAAACAAGAACAAUCAUAAAUAAAAUUGGGUUGCCUCCCAACUAGCGCUAUCGUUUAACGCCCCUAGCUAGGCAUAAAAGCGAAGAUAGAUCUAAGUAGUGCCGUCUUUGGAACUCAAUUCCUCAAUAGAGCACUUAUAAUCUUUAGGGGUUUCUCCCUUUUUAGCAAUGACUAAACCUUUAGGCAAAAAUCCAAGAAUUUCGUUUGUAGCAAAAGGUUCCUUAACGAUAGUGAGGGAGUUCCGGAGUAGGGGGUGUCCGGAUAGCCGAACUGUCAUCAUCGGCCGGACUCCAAGACUAUGAAGAUACAAGAUUGAAGACUUCGUCCCGUGUACGGAUGGGACUUUCCUUGGCAUGGAAUGCAAGCUUGCGAUACGGAUAUGUAGAUUUCCUACCAUUGUAACCGACUCUGUGUAACCCUAGCCCUCUCCGGUGUCUAUAUAAACCGGAUGGCUUUAGUCCAUAGGACGAAGAACAAUCAUACCAUAGGCUAGCUUCUAGGGUUUAGCCUCCUUGAUCUCGUGGUAGAUCCACUCUUGUAACACACAUCAUCAAUAUUAAUCAAGCAGGAUGUAGGGUUUUACCUCCAUCAAGAGGGCCCGAACCUGGGUAAAACAUCGUGUCCCUUGUCUCCUGUUACCAUCCGCCUAGACGCACAGUUCGGGACCCCCUACCCGAGAUCCGCCGGUUUUGACACCGACAUUGGUGCUUUCAUUGAGAGUUCCUCUGUGUCGUCACCGAUAGGCUCGAUGGCUACUUCGACCAUCAUCAACGACGCAGUCCAGGGUGAGAUCUUCCUCCCCGGACAGAUCUUCGUAUUCGGCGGCUUUGCACUGCGGGCCAAUUCGCUUGGCCAUCUAGAGCAGAUCGAAAGCUACGCCCCUGGCCGUCGGGUCAGAUUUGGAAGUUUGAACUUCAUGGCCGACAUCCGCGGGGACUUGAUCCUCGAUGGAUUCGAGCCACAGCCGAGUGUGCCGCACUGUCACGACGAGCAUGAUUUAGCUCUGCAGCCGGACAGUACCCUAGAGGCCGCACUCGAACCCGCUCCGAUCUUCAAUUUGGAGCGGGCUGCGCAGAUCGAGGACGGAUGGCUAGACACCGCCUCGGGGGCUGCAACCUCUACGGCGAUAGAGCCAAAGACUGACUUUGUCCCUCAUAAAGCUCGUGACUCCGAGGUGCCGGACUCCUCGCCGGACUCCGAACCUCCCGCACCCCUCCGAUCGAAUCUGAUUGGGCACCGAUCAUGGAGUUCACCGCAGCGGACAUCUUUCAACGCUCACCUUUCGGCGACAUCCUGAGUUCACUAAAGUAUAUCUCGUUAUCAGGAGAGCCCUGGCCGGACUGCGGCCAGGACAGUUGGGAUGCGGACGACGAAGAAAUUCAAAGCCCACCCACCGCCCAAUUAAUAGCCACUGUCGACGAUCUAACCGACAUGCUAAACUAUGACUCUGAAGACAUCGACGGUAUGGACGACGAUGCCGGAGACGACCAAGAACCAGCGCCUACCGGGCACGGGAAAGCCACCCCAACUCACGACGUAUACAUGGUGGAUACACCAAAAGGAAGCGAUAAUGAGGAAAAACGGGACGCGGCGAAGGACAACUCCCCCAACAAACAACCAAAACAGCGACGCAAGCGCCGCCCGAAGACCGGCCUCAAUAAAAAUGGCACCCAUACGGACCUGGCCCUAGAGCAGGGCAAAGCAGUGGACGGCGCACAUGUCAACAAGCAGCCAGCCGGACAUGAACUGGACAAACAACCCAUCCCCGGCGAAGAUGAUCUCACAUCACCAGAGCAUACGAAUCUUCAUAAAAGGCUCGUCGCCACGGCAAGAAGUUUGAAGAAGCAAAAGCGGAAGCUCAAAACAGCGGAGGACGCACUCAGAAUGAGAUGGAGCAAAGUACUCAACAGCGCAGAUAAACAUGGCGCUAGUCACCAGACAAAGAGCUACCCGAAGCGCAAGCUGUUGCCCGAAUUUGACGAGGAGGCCUUAGAGCCCCCGCAGUCAAAAAAGAAAGAAGCCGCCUGGCCGGAUAGACGACCAGAUGACAGGCCAAGAGCAACAAGGGGCGGCGCACAUAAGCCGGCACACGAUCAGCAUAAAGAUCCUCGGAAAAAGGACGACCCAGUCAGAUCUAUUUAUGGGCCAAAAAAGAAGACUCCAGGAAGCAACAUAACCUGCCGAGCAUUUGAAGACAACGGCACACCCAAAUACAGGGGCGCCGCACACCCACUACGUUUCACCGACGAGGUACUGGAUCAUGGAUUUCCAGCGGGAUUCAAACCCGUAAACAUAGAAGCAUAUGAUGGAACAACAGACCCCGGAGUCUGGAUUGAGGAUUACAUCCUACACAUACAUAUGGCCAGAGGAGACGAUCUCCAUGCCAUAAAAUACCUACCCCUCAAGCUCAAAGGGCCAGCUCGGCAUUGGCUUAAAAGCCUCCCAGAAAAUACCAUUGGAAGUUGGGAAGAGCUUGAGGAUGCGUUUCGAGCAAAUUUUCAGGGGACCUAUGUCCGCCCUUCGGAUGCAGACGAUUUAAGUCACAUAACUCAACAGCCCGGAGAGUCAACGCGCAAAUUCUGGAACAUGUUCCUCACUAAAAAGAACCAAAUAGUCGAUUGUCCGGACGCUGAAGCCUUAGCAGCCUUUAAACACAACGUCCGAGAUGAAUGGCUUGCCAGACACCUCGGCCAGGAAAAACCAAGAACAAUGGCCGCACUAACAAGCCUCAUGACCCGCUUUUGCGCAGGGGAAGACAGCUGGCUAGCUAGAUGCAGCACCAGCGACCUAAGUACAUCCGAAGUUAGGGAUGGAAAUGGGAAAUCACGACACAGAAAAGAUCAGCGCCGGAAUAAGGAAAAUGGCCGGAAUAGUACGGCAGUCAACGCUGGAUUCAAAAGCUCUCGGCCGAACAACAAAACACUGCCCCUCAAGGAGAACAGUGAUGAGCUAUCCAACCUAAACAAGAUUCUGGAUAGACUAUGUCAAAUACAUGGUACCUCCGGGAAGCCUGCAAACCAUACCCACAGAGAUUGUUGGGUCUUCAAACAGUCCGGCCGACUUAACGCCGAACACAAGGGGCUCGACACACCAAGCGAAAGUGACAAAACCCAAAAGCAGCACUCCAGAAAACAGAAGACUUUCCCACUAGAAGUCAAAACCGUGAACUCACUUCAUGUGAUAACACGAAAAGACAGCGCGGCACCUGCAAUACUAGGACAACGCCCGCAGAAUGGGGAUAGACCCUACCAAAAUUCGCCAUAGUGGCACUUCCUUCAAAGGCGUGACGCCAGGCCUUUAAGCCAAUUAUACAGGCUCUGUACCACUAGAGGUUGUGUUCGGUUCAUCCGACAACCUCCGGCGCGAAAAGCUCACUCUCCAUCGCCCCAUUCAAACAGUAGCCCUUAAGCACUACUGGGGCGCGCAGCUAUCGCCAGCCCUAAUGCAAUACCACAUUACACGUUUUUUACGCUUAAGAAUGCCCGGUCAACGUGGCAUAAUUUCAUUAAAAAGUAACUCCGAGUGUUCCUCGACCACGGAGAACGUGAGACUGCUUCGACAGCCACACACUAAUCAGACCUUGCAGGUCAAAGCCCCUAAAAAUAGGUCAUUCAGACCUCGGACAUGGUUCGGCGAGUCCGGCGUAACUAAACAAGGGGCUUCCCAGCCGCAUACCCCCUUUAUAAGGGGCCGCGUGUAUAAAUGAUGAGAGCCAAUAAAGCUCAACUUUCUUUGUUUUAUUCUAUUUUAAUACAACUUCUGCAUGAUAUUUCUUGGAAACUAAGUCCUUCUCUUUUACAGAUGAAGCACGUGCUACACCCAUCUAGGAUACAUCACAAUGGAGACACAGGCGCAGACGUGCAGCAGGGACCCGUUGCAAGGAUUCUUUUCAGAUUAAGACCCUGCGUAAACCUUUCUUACUGUCUCUUGUUGAUACACAUCCCCCGGUUUCCCACCAUAGCCGAGGAGGAGGCUGGCGUUUUGGCAUCAGCCGCAUUAGAAUUUCCCGCCUGUACCCGGACACAAGAGGCUUAGGGCAUUGUUCUGCCCGGUAUCAUAAAGAUCGAACACCUCAGGGAGUGUUCGGCGUCUCGAGUUAGGCCUUAUAUGCAUCAGCUCCGAAUCAUGUCUUUGGUCAAAUGUUGGGUUUGCCCGGCUCCUGUGUUUUGCUGCCUUAUGUUCCGCAUCAUCGGCUAAUGCGGCACCAGGAGAACUACUGCGAUUGUGCCCGGUUCGGCCGGACGAGCACCUCAGUAGAGAAAGCCGAAAACUGACUGUCAUGAUAUAGCAAGAGACUGGUCAACCACUCGAUCGACCAUUGGAAUGUUUAGAAUUCCUCCGCUUUGACGAAGGACCGCUUCCCGGUCAGGCACAUACGUGCCCCGAGUUCGGGAAGAGCGGUGCCACCAGGGGCUAUAUAGUAGCCCCACAUUCGAGCUCCUAUGGCUAAGUGAAAGUGAUAAAGCAUUAUAGUCCGGUUGCCUAGUUUGUUACGCUAUCACCUCCUUAAAAGGACCAAGACGUUGGAUUAAGUGUGAAAAAGCGCUUUUCUUUUUGCAAACACCCCCGCACCAUGUGCGUGGGGGCUGAAGCCAAAGACUGCCAUCUUUCAGAUUAUACAUAAACAUACGGCCGCACAGGAGAUAGUUCAAUACUUGAACACACAAGUAUAAAAAGUUAUUGCAUUAUAAACAUGAUCUCAGAAAUCAUACAUGUCAUUCAAACAUAACAUCUUUCGAGCACUGCGACUCUAUUAAACGAGCGCCCUGCAGGACUUCCUCAAAAUAGUGCUCGGUGGGGAAUCGGCUUUUGUCCGAACCCCGGGAUGCAACUGCGGUGGCAUCCAUCUUCGCCCAGUAUGUCUUACCACGGGCGAGAGCCAUCCGUGCACCUUCUAUGCAUGCCGACCGCUUCAUCGCCCCAAUACGCGGCACCGCCCCAAGGAAUUGCUGCAACAAGCCAAAAUAACUCUUCGGCUUGGGCCUUUUCGGCCACAGAUGAGCGACCACAUCCGUCAUGGCAAGUCCGGACAAUCUAUUCAGUUCAGCCCACUCAACCAGCCGAUCACUCAACGGAAGUGGACGCUCCAGACUAUGGAAUUGAGACCAGAAAAGCUCUUCCAUUUCGUGAUCCUUCUAGCUUCGAAAGUGCACGACUGCGUCCGCCACACUCGCCGCCAAGUCCAGAUAAGGAUCCUCCGCACCGUACAAUCGGCCCAGCGGAGCAUACUUCGGAUCCGUGAACUUCCUACGCAGCAUAAAGGGCUUUCCAGCCACAAUGUCUCCGACCUGACGCAGUUCCUCCUUCAUAGCCCGCAUCGCACUACGGGCAUCCUUGGCUUCAGCGUCGGCCUUCUUCAGGUCCUCUUGCUCCGCUCGGCGUUUUCUUUCAAGAACCUCCAGGUGGUCGGUAGCAACUUUUAAUUUCGUGGCCAUUCCGGCCAUCUCCUCCCUGCUUCGGCAGUGAGCACCCUUCUCGGCUUCUAGCUCUUCCGCUGCCUUCGAGGCAGCCGCCUCGCUUUUUCUGGCUUGCUCCUUGGCCCGAGCAAGUUCUGCUCGAAGGCCUUCCACAGCAGCAGCACUAUCUGCAUCAGGCAUACAAAUUGUAAGGAAUGGGCGUCAGCUCCCUUACUAGGCGACCGCAGAGCCACCACAUACCUUGUGACUCAUCAAGUCGUUUAUUGACCAGCGAGAUGUCCGCAUCCGCAACGUCGAGUUGCCUCUUCAGCUCGGCAAAUCCAUCAGUCCGGCUGGCCACCGAAUGUUCCGCCACCUGCAUAGGAAAGGCGACAAUCUAUAACUGAGAUUAUGAUCCUCGGCACGCUGUCGCUUUCGACAGCAUACCAAGUCUCAGGGGCUACUAUCUAUACAGGGCGCACUUCAUGUGCAAAACUGUCAAAAGGUAUGUCAUUUUUUGCGUACCUCAAAUCCCGUCAGCAAACUUCCGACGGCCUCACACAACCCGCUUUCGGCGGACGAGAUCCUCUCAAUCACCAUACUCAUUAAUGUGCGGUGAUCUUCUGAGACGGACGCCCUCUUAAGCAAAUCCUGCAGCUCCACCGGCCGUACUCCAAUGGGUGCCAAACUCUCCGGCCCCGCCGGACUCGGGGAGACCCUCCGUGACGACACCUCAGGGUCGCCCGCCCCCCACGACGGGGCGGCAGAUGGAGGCGUUUCGCUCUCCAUCAUCUCCGGACGAAGGUCUCCCGAAGAUGAGCUGUGCUGAGAUGGGCUGAGAUCCGAACUACAAGGUGAAAACUUCGGUUACCCUUAGAAAUUAAACGGGGAUGUCCACUAUUACAAAAUUCCCCCUUUUUUACUUACGGCUUGCUAGAGGGCUGAUUCCUCUGAGGAGACAGUACGGCCGGGGCUCUUCCCGGCACAGGACCUUCCGGUACAGAUUUCUUUCCCCGCUUUGAGGCCUUGGCCUUCGGGUCUUCGGAAGCGGUCCUCUUCUCCCCCUGGAAGGAGGGACUCUCGAUUCCUCCCUUACUGAAAGCCUCCGUGGCUGUGGUGGUAGUUCCCCUGUGCCCUUGUUCGCCCUCCUCCGAAGGUGCAACCUCUAACAUUUUGAUUAACACGGGAUCCUGCGCGGUCUCAGGGAGGGGGGCCGAACACCGUAUCAGUUUUGCUUGCGCUAUCCACUCCUGUCCAAGGGAUAGCUGGUUAAAAGGCAAAUCCACAGUAAAUGAAUGGACGAUGUGUACGGACACAGGGCUACUUACUUGAGUAUCCGGGCGAUUGCAGCUUAGGCCAGCAUCCUCGGUCAAUUCUGGACGCAUCUCUUGCGAUCCGAAGAAUAGUUUGUACAUCUCCGCGGGUGUCAAACCCAUGAAGUGUUGAAGAGCUCGUGGCCCCUCCGGAUUAAAUUCCCACAGGCGGAGGGGGCGACGUUUGCAGGGCAGUAGGCUCCGGAUCAACAUAACCUGUACCACUACGGCCAGGUUGAUCUCCCUUUCUUGGAGGCCUCGAAUCCGAUCCUGCAACAGGGGAACGUCCUUGGACGGCCCCCAGUCACGCCCCUUGUUGACCCAUGACGUCAGCCGCUGUGGAGGGCCCGAGCGGAAGACAGGCGGCAGCCUCUGCCUGCUGCCCCUGGGAGCGGUGAUAUAGAACCACUCCUGUUGCCACAAGCCGAGCUCCACCUGAAAAGAGCCCUCGGGCCAUGGAGCAUCGACCCUCUUACUUAUAACUGCCCCGCCGCACUCUGCCUGAUGCCCCUCAAUCAUAUUCGGCUCCAUGUUGAAGGUUUUGAGCCACAAGCCGAAGUGAGGGGUAGUGCGGAGGAAGGCUUCGCAGACGACAAUGAAUGAUGAGAUGUGGAGGAUGGACUCCGGAGCCAAGUCAUGAAAUUCCAGCCCAUAGUAAAACAUGAGCCCCCUCACGAAGGGAUCCGUCGGGAAGCCUAAACCCCGACGGAGGUGAGACAGGAACACGACGCUCUCGCCAAGCUCGGGAGUAGUAAUAACUUGCCCUCGGGCAGGCAGCCUAUGUGAAAUCUCGUAGGUUAAGUACCUGGCGUCUCUUAGCUUUAGCACGUCCUCUUCCGUGACGGAGGAGGGCAUCCACCGGCCUCGUAGGUCAGGGCCGGACAUUGUCGAAGAUCGAAGGUACCCGAAUAUGGAGCCCUGGGAGCGGAUUCGACAGAGGAUUGAAGGAAAAGAACGGGCCUUGGUCUCAUUAUAAAGAGGGAGAAUACCAAGAGCCGUCCCCGUGACCGUUUGGAACCCGCCUUUGAUGGAGGGGGCGUGGCAAUAGGCGCGGUUGGGUUACCCACGUCCGUAUUGAUGGGAAUCCCAGAAUAAGGGGAACACGAUCUCUGCUUCGACAAGACGUGCCAAGGAAGUCACCUCGCUAAACGCGCUGAGGUGGAACAAUAAAAACAAUUUGAGUAAAGGCUUGGUAGUGGUGUGACGUCAUGCCACAAAAUACGUCAGCAGAUUGAACUUGUGUAAUGUUAUUCUCUCUAUGGUGGUACGUGGAAUUUAUUUUGCAGAGCCAGACACUAUCCUGGUGUUUGCAAUCUUCUAUAAAUUAUUCGGAGGAAGAACCCGCCUUGCAAUGCCGAAGACAACAUGCGCGUCGGACUCGUCGUCAUUGAAGCCUAGUUCAGGGGCUACUGAGGGAGUUCCGGACUAGGGGGUGUCCGGAUAGCCGAACUAUCAUCAUCGGCCGGACUCCAAGACUAUGAAGAUACAAGAUUGAAGACUUCGUCCCGUGUCCGGAUGGGACUUUCCUUGGCGUGGAAGGCAAGCUUGGCGAUACGGAUAUGUAGAUUUCCUACCAUUGUAACCGACUCUGUGUAACCCUAGCCCUCUCCAGUGUCUAUAUAAACUGGAUGGCUUUAGUCCAUAGGACGAAGAACAAUCAUACCAUAGGCUAGCUUAUAGGGUUUAGCCUCCUUGAUCUCGUGGUAGAUCCACUCUUGUAACACACAUCAUCAAUAUUAAUCAAGCAGGACGUAGGGUUUUACCUCCAUCAAGAGGGCCCAAACCUGGGUAAAACAUCGUGUCCCUUGUCUCCUGUUACCAUCCGCCUAGACGCACAGUUCGGGACCCCCUACCCGAGAUCCUCCGGUUUUGACACCGACAGAUAGAAAGACAAUUGGGAUGAACACUUAUGGAUUUGAGAUCCGCGUCUCCCUUACUAGAAGACUCACCUUUAUUUUUAGGAACAUAAAUAAACUUGGCAGUUUUGGUAGGGGGUUUUGGAGUGUUUUUCAUGGAAGAAAACACCGAACCUAAGUUGGUAAUUAUAUCCUCAAGUUUAUCGAUUCUAGCAGAAUCUAGAUCUAUCUUUUCAUUAACUAUAUGUUCUUUCUCUUUAAGAUUUUUCAAAGUAACUCGAACCCUAGAUCCAUAUUGGGUGAUUUGAUAAUGAAUCUUUUUAUCCAAAUUUUCAAUCAACUCAACGGUGGCAAUUUUAUUUUCAAUAAUCUCAAGCCGUUGCAUAACAUGCUCUAAAGUUAAAAUAGUUCCAUUGACCAAAAGAGGUGGUGGGCCAAACAAAUCUAACAUAGCAUUAUAAGCAUCAAACGUAUGGCUACGCAAGAAAUCACCUCCGGCAACAGUAUCAAGAACACAUCUAUUCCAUGGAGUGAUGCCUACAUAAAAAUUGCGGAGAAGAACGAAAGUAGAAAGCUUCCUAGUAGAUCUAUUUUGAGCAUUGCAAAUUCUAUGCCAAGCAUCUUUUAAAUUUUCUCCCUCCCUUUGCUUAAAAUUGAGAAUUUCAUGUUCGGGAGUAAUAAUAAGGAUAGGAGGACUAGCCAUAACGACAAGGUAAACGAUAUAACACACGAGCAUACGGAAAAAGGCAAGCGAAAAGAGAGGAGAAGAUUGGGAAAGAGAGGGCGAAUAAAACGGCAAGGGUGAAGUGGGGGAGAGGAAAACGAGAGGCAAAUGGCAAAUAAUGUAAAUGCAAGGGAGAUGAGUUUGUGAUGGUACUUGGUAUGUCUUGACUUGAGCGAAGACCUCCCCGGCAACAGCGCCAGAAAUCCUUCUUGCUACGUCUUGAGCUUGCGUUGGUUUUCCUUGAAGAGAAAAGGGUGAUGCAGCAAUAGUAGUGUAAGUAUUUCCCUCAGUUUUUGAGAACCAAGGUAUCAAUCUAGUAGGAGGCUCCUAAAAAGUCCCACACACCUACACAAACAAACAAAGAACUCGCAACCAACGCAAUGAAGGGGUUGUCAAUCCCUUCACGGCCACUUGAGAAAGUGAGAUCUGAUAGAGAUAGUAUGAUAAGAUAAAUAUAUUUUUGGUAUUUUAUAAUAUAGAUGCAAAAAGUGAAGAUGCAAAUAAAAGUAGAUUGGAAGCAAAUAUGAUAAGAGAUAGACCCGGGGGCCAUAGGUUUCACUAGAGGCUUCUCUCAAGAUAGCAUAAGUAUUACAGUGGGUGAACAAAUUACUGUCGAGCAACUAAUAGAAAAGUGAAUAAUUAUGAUGUUAUCUAGGCAUGAUCAUGUAUAUAGGCAUCACGUCCGCAACAAGUAGACCAACUCCUGCCUGCAUCUACUACUAUUACUCCACACAUCGACCGACUCCUGCCUGCAUCUAGAGUAUUAAGUUCAUAAGAACACAGUAACGCCUUAAGCAAGAUGACAUGAUGUAGAGGGAUAAACUCAUGCAAUAUGAUAUAAACCCCAUCUUUUUAUCCUCGAUGGCAACAAUACAAUACGUGCCUUGCAACCCCUGUUGUCAUUGGGUAAGGACACCGCAAGAUUGAACCCAAAGCUAAGGACUUCUCCCAUGGCAAGAAAGAUCAAUCUAGUAGGCCAAACCAAACUGAUAAUUCAAAGAGACUUGCAAAGAUAACUCAAUCAUACAUAAAAUAAUUCAGAGGAGAUUCAAAUAUUUCUCAUAGAUAAACUUGAUCAUAAACCCACAAUUUAUCAGAUCUCAACAAACACACCGCAAAAAGAGUUUAGAUCGAAUAGAUCUCCACAAGAGAGGGGGAGAACAUUAUAUUGAGAUCCAAAAAGAGAGAAGAAUCCAUCUAGCUAAUAACUAUGGACCCGAAGGUCUGUGGUAAACUACACACAACUCAUCGGAGGGGCUAUGGUGUUGAUGUAGAAGCCCUCCGUGGUCGAUUCCCCCUCCGACGGAGUGCCGGCGAAGGCUCCAAGAUGGGAUCUCGCGGAUACAAAAGGUUACGGCGGUGGAACUUGUGUUUCGUUGACUCCCUGUAUGUUUUCGGGGUACGUAGGCUUAUAUAGGAGGAAGAAGUACGUCGGUGGCCGCCCGAGGGGCCCAAGAGAUAGGGGGCGCACCCUACCCUCUCGUGGCCGCCUCGGCUGCUUCUUGACUUGCACUCCAAGUCCUCUGGAUCACGUUCAUUCCAAAAAUCACACUCCCGAAGGUUUCAUUCCGUUUGGACUCCGUUUGAUAUUCCUUUUCUUCGAAAUACUGAAAUAGGCAAAAAAACAGCAAUACGGGCUGGGCCUCCGGUUAGGAGGUUAGUCCCAAAAAUGAUAUAAAUGUGUAAAAUAAAGCCCAUAAACAUCCAAAAGGGGUAAUAUAAUAGCAUGGAACAAUCAAAAAUCAUAGAUACGUUGGAGACGUAUCACAGAGCAAGCUAGGCGUGUUCGUGCCGAUAGGCUAUGGCUUGCCGCACAGCGAGACCGUUGGAGCACCGCAGAGCAAGAGGCGCGGCGCGCCGCACAGCAAGAGUGGGUCCAUCGAUGCUUCCCUGUUGUCGGCAGGGCAUCGCAGCUAGGUACACGUCCUGUCAGUAUCCCCAUUCCUUGCCUGGAGUGGGCAGAGGCCGUCUGCGCCGUACUUGCACCAGAGACCGGCCGCGUCGUACUUGCACUGGACGCCGGCCGCGCUGUACUUGCACCAGACGCCCACCGCACCGUUUUCCUUGUCUGUGACCCGCUUGAUGCCAACACGUUGGUCGCUAGGCUCCACCGCCUCCUUGGCCCAGGUGUCCACCUGGGCGCAGUAGAGGAACAUGGCUGUCGUAUCCUCGAGCUGGUGAUCUCUGAUAACCCACAAGUGUAGGGGAUCGCAACAACUUUCGAGGGUAAAGUAUUCAACCCAAAUUUAUUGAUUCGACACAAGGGGAGCCAAAGAAUAUUCUUGAGUAUUAGCAGUUGAGUUGUCAAUUCAACCACACCUGGAUAACUUAGUAUCUGUAGUAAAGUAUUUAGUAGCAAAGUAGUAUGAUAAUAAAGGUAACGAUAGCAAAAGUAAUAUUUUUGGGUUUUGUAGUGAUUGUAACAGUAGCAACGGAAAAGUAAAUAAGCGAAGAACAAUAUGUGAAAAGCUCGUAGGCAAUGGAUCAGUGAUGGAUAAUUAUGCCGGAUGCGAUUCCUCAUGUAAUAGCUAUAACAUAGGGUGACACAGAACUAUCUCCAGUUCAUCAAUGUAAUGUAGGCAUGUAUUCCGUAAAUAGUCAUACAUGCUUAUGUAAAAGAACUUGCAUGACACCUUUUGUCCUAACCUCCCAUAGCAGCGGGGUCCUAGCGGAAACUAAGGGAUAUUAAGGCCUCCUUCUAAUAGAGAACCGGAAUAAAGCAUUAGCACAUAGUGAAUACAUGAACUCCUCAAACUACGAUCAUCACCGAGAAGUAUCCCGAUUAUUGUCACUUCGGGGUUGUCGGAUCAUAACACAUAAUAGGUGACUAUAAACUUGCAAGAUAGGAUCAAGAACACACAUAUAUUCAUGAAAACAUAAUAGGUUCAGAUCUGAAAUCAUGGCACUCGGGCCCUAGUGACAAGCAUUAAGCAUAGCAAAGUCAUAGCAAAACCAAUCUCAGAACAUAGUGGAUACUAGGGAUCAAACCCUAACAAAACUAACUUGAUUAGAUGGUAAAUCUCAUCCAACCCAUCACCGUCCAGCAAGCCUACGAUGGAAUUACUCACGCACGGUGGUGAGCAUCAUGAAAUUAGUGAUGGAGGAUGGUUGAUGAUGACGACGACGAGAAUCCCCCUCUCCGAAGCCCCGAACGGACUCCAGAUCAGCCCUCCCAAGAGAGAUUAGGGCUUGGCGGCGGCUAUGUAUCGUAAAACGCGAUGAAACUUUCUCUCCGAUUUUUUUCUCCCCGAACGUGAAUAUAUGGAGUUGAAGUUGAGGUCGGUGGAGGUCCAGGGGGCCCACGAGACAGGGGGGCGCGCCUAGGGGGAGGGGGCGCACCCCCACCCUCAUGGACAAGGUGUGGGCCCCCUGGUCUUGAUUCUUUCGCCAAUAUUUUUUAUAUUUUCCAAAAAGUGCCUCUGUGGAUUUUCAGGACAUUCCGAGAACUUUUCUUUUCUACACACAAAACAACAUCAUGGCAGUUCUGCUGAAAACAGCAUCAGUCCGGGUUAGUUUCAUUCAAACCAUGCAAGUUAGAGUCCAAAACAAGGGCAAAAGUGUUUGGAAAAGUAGAUACAUUGGAGACGUAUCAACUCCCCCAAGCUUAAACCUUUGCUUGUCCUCAAGCAAUUCAGUUGAUAUACUGAAAGUGAUAAAGAAAAACUUUUACACACUCUGUUUGCUCUUGUUGUUGUAAACAUGCAAAGCCAUCAUUUAGGUUUCAGCAAAUAUUAUGAACUAACCAUACUCAUAAUAACACCCAGGUCUCACAAUUACUCAUAUCAAUAGCAUAAUCAGCUAGCGAGCCAUAAUAAUAAAACUCGGAUGACAACACUUUCUCAAAACAAUCAUAACAUGAUAUAACAAAUGGUUUCUCGCUAGCCCUUUCUGAGACCGCAAAACAUAAAUGCAGAGCAUCUUUAAAGAUCAAGGACUGACUAAACAUUGUAACUCAUGGUAAAAGAGAUCCAGUCAAGUCAUACCCAAUAUAAACCAAUAGUAAUGAAUGCAAAUGACAGUGCGCUCUCCAGCGGGUGCUUUUUAAUAAGAAGGGUGAUGACUCAACAUAAAAGUAAAUAGAUAGGCCCUUCGCAGAGGGAAGCAGGGAUUUGUAGAGGUGCCAGAGCUCGAUGAGUGUACACCGCCUCCAGUGUAACAAGAAAAUUAUCUGCAGUCAAAUCAAACAAAAGAGGCGCAGGUAAAAUAAUAGUCUCAUUGUGUUUCUUAUUAAAUCUAAGGUUAUACAAGAGCAUCUUCUAUUCGUUGUCAACGAUAAACUUGUGGGAUACCAUGCUCCUGUAAUCUAAAAUGUGAGGAGGCAAUUUUGUCUCCUCUUUCUCAUGGUGCCUAAUAGGUAUCUGAAAAUGUCUAGCAAGACGUGAAGCAUAGAUACCUCCAAAUAUGGGGCCUUUUGUACGAUUCAGGGCUAGUUGUUUAGCAACGAACCCAUACUAAAACUGUUGUCUCCAAGCAAGGCAUGUUGAAGAAUGAUAAUAUCAGGUACACUAAGGUUUCCACUAUUUCCACGACCUAUCAAGCAUCUACUAGCAAAUAUGGCAAAGUAGUGUAAAACAGGAAAAUGUAUGCUAGAGAUUUUCGCCUUGGAACCCUUCUUUGGCUCCUCUACAGCUAUAGUGUUAACAAAGCCAUCCACAUCUUUACGAUGGGGUUCCUCUAAUUCUCCCUCAUAGGGUAUCCUACACACCGCGCAAAAAUUACGUAAAGACAUUUCUCUGAAUUCAUCAUAUAAAUGAAAUGAUACUGACUUCAUAGGAUAAUAAUAAAAAAUUUGCAUGAAAGUAUUGGUGAGUAAGAGAUACUGAUCGAUCCGGUCGUGGAGGAAACUGGUGAGGCCUGCAGUCUCGAUCAAAGAAUAAAAAUCUUCAUGAAUUCCAGCUUCUUUCAAGAAAUCAUCGCAUGGCCAUUCACACGACCGUACUUCCGCUAAGCGAGGAAGAUUAUACUUGGCUUUUUCCUUCGCUUUAGCUUGUUUUUCCUGAGAGCCCUGGCUAGAAGAGCCCCUCAAAAGUUUCCAUAACAUUUUUUGAAAAUUUCUGAAAUUUUAGUAACUUCAAAAUAAAAGUGAAUAAAACUAAACAAGAUUGAUAGCAACUACUCCUACAAGUGCUUAGAGCCUAUAUCAUGCAUUAGAAUUGCUUGGGACCUCACAAAUUUAACAUGCAAGCUCAAGAACAAGGUCACCUAUGCAGCAAAAAUUUGCAAUGAAUAAAGCACUAGAACAAAAACUAAUUGGACCAAUGGAGGAGUCACAUACCAAGCAACAAUCUCCCAAAGCAGUUUUGUGAAUGGAGCUUUGAGCAAGGAGAUCGAAAAUCGCAGCAAAAUGGGCUAGAACUUGUGCUUGAACUGGAUGGGGAUUUUUUUGGGUAGAAGAUGAAGUGUGUGGGUGCUGGCAUAAGUGGAGGGGGGCCACGAGACAGGGGGGCGCGCCCAGGUGGGGUUGGCGCGCCCUCCACUCUCGUGGCCUAGUGCUUGCCCCUCCUAUAGUGAUUUUAGUGCCUAAAAUCCUCAAAUAUUCCAUUAAAAAUCAUACUAAAUUUGCAGGGCAUUUGGAGCACUUUUAUUUCCGGGAUAUUUUUUAAUGCACGAAUAAUUCAGAAAACGGAUAGAUAAUACUAUUUUUGCUUUAUUUAUUCCAAAUAACAGAAAGUAAAAAGAGGGUACAGAAGGUUGUGCCUUCUAGUUUCAUCCAUCUCAUGAUCAUCAAAAUGAAUCCACUAACAAGGUUGAUCAAGUUUUGUUAACAAACUCAUUCCGAAUAACACGGAACCGGAGAAAUUUCGAAUAACACUAAGUUACCUCAACGGGGAUAUGAAAAUCCCCAACAAUAAUAUCAUACUUUUUCUUGACAGUAGGGAGAGGAAAUUCAAAACCUCCAAUAAUGAUAGUUGGAACUUUUCCAAUAGAAUUGAUGCUAUGAACUUAAGAUUGUUUCCUCAGAAAGUGUAUCGUAUACUCAUUACCAUUAACAUGAAAACUGACAUUGCCUUUGUUGCAAUCAAUAACAGCCCCUACAGUAUUUAAAAAAGGGUCUACCAAGGAUAAUCGAUAUACUAUCGUCCUCGGGAAUAUCAAGAAUAACAAAGUCCGUUAAGAUAGUGACAUUUGCAACCACAACAGCCACAUCCUCACAAAUACCGACAGGUAUGGCAGUUGAUCUAUCAGCCAUUUGCAAAGAUAUUUCAGUAGGUGUCAACUUAUUCAAUUCAAGUCUACGAUAUAAAGAGAGAGGCAUAACACUAACACCGGCUCCAAGAUCACAUAAAGCAGUUCUAACAUAAUUUCUUUUAAUGGAGCAUGGUAUAGUUGGUACCCCUGGAUCUCCAAGUUUCUUUGGUAUUCCACCCUUAAAAGUGUAAUUAGCAAGCAUGGUGGAAAUUUCGGCUUCCGGUAUCUUUCUUUUAUUUCUGAUGAUAUCCUUCAUAUACUUAGCAUAAGGAUUUACUUUGAGCAUAUCAGUUAAGCACAUACGCAAGAAGAUAGGUCUAAUCAUUUCAGCAAAGCACUCAAAAUCCUCAUCAUCCUUUGUUUUGGAUUGUUUAGGAGGAAAGGGCAUGGGUUUCUGAACCCAUGGUUCUCUUUAUCUACCGUGCUUCCUAGCAACAAAAUCUCUCUUAUCAUAACGUUGAUUCUUUGAUUGCGGGUUAUCAAGAUCAACAGCAUGUUCAAUCUCUACUUCUUUAUUUCUGUAGGUUGAGCAUCAACAUGAACAUUAUCAUUAACAUCAUCACUAGGUUCAUGUUCAUCACCUGAUUGUGUUUCAGCAUCAGAAAUAGAAAUAUCAUUGGGAUUCUCAGGUGUGUCUACAGUAGGUUCACUAGAAGCAUGCAAAGUCCUAUAGUUUUUCUUUUUCUUCUUUUUGGAAGAACUAGGUGCCUCUAAAUUGUUUCUCUGAGAAUCUUGCUAGAUUCUCUUAGGGUGGCCUUCAGGAUACAAAGGUUCCUAAGUCAUGCUACCAGUUCUAGUAGCCACUCUAACAGCAAAGUCAUUUUUAUUAUUUAAGUCAUCAAGCAAAUCAUUUCGAGCUUUAAGUACUUGCUCAGCUUGAGUAGCAACCAUAGAAGCAUAUUUGCUAACGAGUUGGAGUUCACCUUUAACUCUAGCCAUAUUAUCUCUCACGCGUGCUAUCUCGAAAGCAUUAUUCUUUAACUCUCUACCAACAUAAGCAUUAAAAGUUUCUUGCCUAGCCAUAAAGUCAUCAAAUUCAUCUAAGCAUGGGCUAUGAAAUUUAGUAGAGGGGAUUUCAACUUUAUCAUAUCUAUAGAGAGAAUUUACCUUUACUACCUGUGUCGGGUUAUCAAGACAAUGUGGUUCUUCAACAGGCGGUAUAUUAAGACCAUGUAUUUCUUCAAUAGGAGGUAAAUUCUUAACAUCUUCAGCUUUUAUACCUUUUUCUUUCAUUGAUUUGUUUGCCUCUUGCAUAUCUUCAGGACUGAGAAAUAAAACACCUCUCUUCUUCGGAGUGGGUUUAGGAAUAGGCUCAGGAGUUGGCUCAAUUGGUUCAGGAAUUUCCUCAGGAAUUGGUUCAGGAAGAGUCCAAUUAUUUUCAUUAGUUAACAUAUUAUUCAAUAGUAAUUCAGCUUCAUCAACUAUUCAUUCCCUGAAAAUACAACCAACACAACUAUCCAAGUAGUCCUUGGAAGCGUUGGUUAGUCCAUUAUAAAGAUAUCAAGUAUUUCUUUUUUCUUGAGAGGAUGAUCAGGCAAAGCAUUAAGUAACCGGAGAAGCCUCCCCCAAGCUUGUGGGAGACUCUCUUCUUUGAUUUGCACAAAAUUAUAUAUUUCCCGCAAGGCAGUUUGUUUCUUAUGAGCAGGGAAAUAUUUAGCAGAGAAGUAAUAAAUCAUAUCCUGGGGAGUACGCACACAACCAGGAGCAAGAGAAUUAUACCAAGUCUUAGCAUCACCCUUUAAUGAGAACGGAAAUAUCUUAAGGAUAUAAAAAUAGCGAGAUCUAUCAUCAUGAGUAAAUAGGGUAGCUAUAUCAUUCAACUUGGUAAGAUGUGCCACAACAGUUUCAGAUUCAAGGGCAUAAAAAGGAUCAGAUUCAACUAAAGUAAUAAUUUCAGGAUCAACAGAGAAUUCAUAAUCCUUAUCAGUAACACAGAUAGGUGAAGUAGCAAAAGCACGAUCGGGUUUCAUUCUAGCAUUAAGAGACUGUUGCUUCCAUUUAGCUAAUAAUUUCUUAAGAUCAUAUCUAUCAUUGCAAGCAAAAAUUUCUCUAGCAGCUUCUUCAUUCAUAACAUAACCCUCAGGAACAACAGGCAAUUCAUAAUCAUUGGGAGAACUUUCAUCAUCACUAUCUUCAGUAUUUUCAUUCCCCCUAACUCUAGCAAGUUGUUCAUCAAGAAAUUCACCUAAUGGCAAAGUAGUAUCACGCACAGAAGUAGUUUCAUCAUAAGUAUCAUGCAUAGCAGAAGUGGCAUCAUCAAUAACAUGCGACAUAUCAGAAUUCAUAGCAGUAGCAGGUUUAGGUGUCGCAAGCUUACUGAUAACGGAAGGAGAAUCUAGUGCAGAGCUAGAUGGCAGUUCCUUACCUCCCCUCGUAGUUGAGGGCAAAAUCUUGGUUCUUUCGUCUUUCAAGUUCCUCAUAGUGAUCAACAGAUAUAAAUCCCAAGUGACUCAGAGAAUGGAGCUAUGCUCCCCGGCAAGGUGCCAGAAAUUAGUCUUGAUAACCCGCAAGUGUAGGGGAUUGCAACAGCUUUUGAGGGUAAAGUAUUCAACCCAAAUUUAUUGAUUCGACACAAGGGGAGCCAAAGAAUAUUCUUGAGUAUUAGCAGUUGAGUUAUCAAUUCAACCACACCUGGAUAACUUAGUAUCUGCAGCAAAGUAUUUAGUAGCAAAGUAGUAUGAUAAUAAAGGUAACGAUAGCAAAAGUAAUGUUUUUGGGUUUUGUAGUGAUUGUAACAGUAGCAACGGAAAAGUAAAUAAGAGAAGAACAAUAUGUGAAAAGCUCGUAGGCAAUGGACCAGUGAUGGAUAAUUAUGCCGGAUGCGAUUCCUCAUGUAAUAGCUAUAACAUAGGGUGACACAGAACUAUCUCCAGUUCAUCAAUGUAAUGUAGGCAUGGAUUCCAUAAAUAGUCAUAUGUGCUUAUGUAAAAGAACUUGCAUGACACCUUUUGUCCUACCCUCCCGUGGCAGCGGGGUCCUAGCGGAAACUAAGGGAUAUUAAGGCCUCCUUCUAAUAGAGAACCGGAACAAAGCAUUAGCACAUAGUGAAUACAUGAACUCCUCAAACUACGAUGAUCACCGAGAAGUAUCCCGAUUAUUAUCACUUCGGGGUUGUUGGAUCAUAACACAUAAUAGGUGACUAUGGACUUGCAAGAUAGGAUCAAGAACACACAUAUAUUCAUGAAAACACAAUAGGUUCAGAUCUGAAAUCAUGGCACUCGGGCCCUAGUGACAAGCAUUAAGCAUAACAAAGUCAUAGCAACAUCAAUCUCAGAACAUAGUGGAUACUAGGGAUCAAACCCUAACAAAACUAACUUGAUUACGUGGUAAAUCUCAUCCAACCCAUCACCGUCCAGCAAGCCUACGAUGGAAUUACUCACGCACGGCGGUGAGCAUCAUGAAAUUGGUGAUGGAGGAUGGUUGAUGAUGACGACAGCGACGAAUUGCCCUCUCCGGAGCCCUGAACAGACUCCAGAUCAGCCCUCCCGAGAGAUAUUAGGGCUUGGCGGUGGCUCCGUUUCGUAAAACACGAUGAAACUUUCUCUCCGAUUUUUUUCGCCCCAAACAUGAAUAUAUGGAGUUGGAGUUGAGGUCGGUGGAGGUCCAGGGGCCCACGAGACAGGGGGCGCGCCCAGGGGAGGGGGUGCGCCCCCACCCUCAUGGACAGGUUGUGGGCCCUCUGGUCUUGAUUCUUUCGCCAGUAUUUUUUAUAUUUUCUAAAAAGUGCCUCCGUGGAUUUUCAGGACAUUCCAAGAACUUUUCUUUUCUACACAUUAAACAACAUCAUGGCAGUUCUGCUAAAAAUAGCGUUAGUCCGGGUUAGUUUCAUUCAAAUUAUGCAAGUUAGAGUCCAAAACAAGGGCAAAAGUGUUUGGAAAAGUAGAUACGCUGGAGACGUAUCAAUCUCCAAUGAAAUAGCUAACUUGAAGCUCGAGAUCAUGCUCCAGAUGUACCGCGAGCAUGUCAACCGCUUGGACGAACGCAUGCACGAGUUUAGGCAGAGCCAAGAGCUACCGUAGGCAAGGGCUGGUAGUCAUGGACGUGUUUUUUUGUUGACUCAUUUCGACGUGGAUCGCUAUGUAUUCACAACAAUCAUAAUAUUGCUCUCUUUAUUACUCUGUUUCCAUGUGUGUACCAUGUUUUCCAUUCUUAUAUGUUCUGUUUCAAUGUGUGUAUAUAUGCUUUCCAUUCUGUAUAGGUGGAUGGUAAUAGCUAGAUACUAAUUAGUAUACGAAAAAAGAUAGAAAAAUGGAAUUCAUAAUAUAUAUUAAUUGUUCAUUAGUUCAUCACAGAAUAUAUAUAAUAUCAUCACUUAUACAUGAUGAUACUUAACUACCAUGUACACUGCAUAAAAUUGAAAAUGAACAAUACUAAAACUAAUAAUCCCUCCUGGGGGCAGUAUUCCGGCAGCCCUUCGCCAGUAGCUCCCUGGUGUGCAACGUGUUCCCAGCGCGGAGGUAGUACUUGUUGGGAAACGUUGCAUGGAAAACAAAAACUUUCUACGCAAUGAUAUAUCCAUGGAGAUACAUAGCAACGAGGGGGAGAGUGUGUCUACGUACCCUUCUAUACUGUAAGCGGAAGCGUUUGACAUCGCGGUUGAUGUAGUCUAACUUCUUCUAGCUCCAACCGAUCAAGUACCAAACACACGACACCUCCGAGUUCUGCACACGUUCAGCUCGGUGACAUCCCUCGCCUUCUUGAUCCAGCAAGACGUUGAGGUAGUAGAUGAGUUCCGUCAGCACGACGGAUAAGUGACGGUGAUGGUGAAGUUAUCCUCGCAGGGCUUCGCCUAAGCACCACGAAGAUAUGACCGAGGGUGUAAACUUUGGAGGGGGCGCCGCACACGGCUAGGCAAUUGUCUGUUAUGUGCUAGGCGCCCCCUCCUCAUAUAUAUAGGUGGGAGGGAUGGAUGAGCAGCCAUAGGAGGCACCCAAGUAGGAGGAAUCCUAUUUGGAGUCCCACCCAAGCCGCGCGCCCCCCGCCAUAUAUAACCGAGGUGGACGGAAAGAGGAGGGGAGAGGGAAGGAAGUAGGAAUCCUAAUCCACACUUUCCUUGCCCUCCCCUCUUUCCUUCUCCUCCUCAAAGGGCUGGCCUUUAUAGGGGCGCACCAGGGCUGGUGUGUUCCUUCACUUGGCCCAUAAGGCCCAUAUCUUUGCCGGGGGUGCCCGAAACUCCUUUUCGGUGACCCGAUAAGUACCUGGUACCCUCCGGAACACUUCCGGUGUCCAAAUACCAUCGUCCUAUAUAUCAAUCUUUAGCUGUUGACCAUUUCUAGACUCCUCGUCAUGUCUGUGAUCUCAUCCAGGACUCCGAACAACAUUCGGUCACCAAAUCACAUAACUCAUAUAAUACCAUAUCGCCAUCAAACGUUAAACAUGCGGACCCUACGGGUUCGAUAACUAUGUAGACAUGACCGAGACACCUCUCUGGUCAAUAAUUGAAAGCACAAGUGCUCCCUGGGUGAUUUUGGUAAUUCAUGAUAGCAUCUCUUGUUGGACUAAUACCUUUACCUAGUACAUUUCAGAUAAGUUCAACAUUGGAGUGGCAUGGACAUGGACAAGAGGAUGUGGAACCCCUUAAAGAUGCUAAGGACAAAUAUUGGCAAAAGCUCAAGACUCUACAUUUUCAUUUAAGUGAUCCAAGAUCACAUUGAGUCCAUAGGAAAGCCAAUACUAUUAAAAGGGGAUGAGGUGUUGCUUAAUGGCUUGCUUGCUCAAAGUGCUUAGUGAUAUGCACCAAAAAAACCCCAGCCACUUUCUGACAUCCACAUUUGUCCUAAACUUAAAUGUCAAACUUGGCGCCACCGAUUUUGUCUAUCCGGUACCACUGAGUUUCAUCAUAUUUAGCCACUACCAAACCCUAGUCACUUCAGUCUCACCGAUGGGAUCUCGGUCUCACCGAGAUGGGCUUGCAAUUUCUCUGUGAUCUGGUGCAACACUUUCGGUCUAACCGAGUUGGUGUAGUCGGUCCCACCAAGUUUGCCUGACCAAUCCUCUGUUUACUUAUUACCAAAAUCAUUCUCACCGAGUUUGAGUAAUCAGUCAAACCGAGUAGAGGUUUUACCCUAACCCCUCCACAUCGGUCCCACCGAGAUGACUAUAUCAGUCCCACCGAAAUUCCUAAUAUUCACAUUUUGAACUAAAUCGGUCUGACCAAGUUUGUUGAUUCGGUCCCACCGAGUUUGGGAAUCUGUGUGUAAUGGUUAGAUUUUGUGUGGAGGCUAUAUAUACCCCUCCGCCCACUUUUCAUUCAUGGAGAGAGCCAUCAGAACAAACCUACACUUCCGCUACUCAUUUUCUGAGAGAGAACCACCUACUAAUGUGUUGAGGCCAAGAUAUUCCAAUCCUACCAUAUGAAUCUUGAUCUCUAGCCUUUACCAAGUUGCUUUCCACUCAAAUCAUCUUUCCAUCAUACCCAAAUCUGUGUGAGAGAGUUGAGUGUUGGGGAGACUAUCAUUUGAAGCACAAGAGCAAGGAGUUCAUCAACAACACACCAUCUAUUACCUUUUGGAGAGUGGUGUCUCCCAGAUUGGCUAGGUGUCACUUGGGAGCCUCCGUCAAGGUUGUGGAGUUGAACCAAGGAGUUUGUAAGGGCAAGAAGAUCGCCUACUUCGUGAAGAUCUACCCUAGUGAGGCAAGUCCUUCAUGGGCGAUGGCAUGAUGGGAUAGACAAGGUUGCUUCUUCAUGAAGCCUUCGUGGGUGGAGCCCUCCGUGGACUUGAGCAACUGUUACCCUCCGUGGACUUGUGCAACCGUUAGCCUCCGUGGGUUGAAGUCUCCAUCAAUGUGGAUGUACGAUAGCACCACCUAUCGGAACCACGCCAAAAAUCUCCGUGUCUCCAAUUGUGUUUGCACACUCCAAUCCCAUCUCUUUACUUUCUUGCAAGUCGCAUGCUUUACUUUCCGCUGCUCAUAUACUCCUUGCAUGCUUGCUUGAAUUGCAUUGUGUGAGAUUGAAAUUGUGUUGAUCUACCACCUCAACUUGAAAAACUUAAAAACUGCCAACUUCGUUUGUUGAGGGUCUAAUCACCCCCCUCUAGACACCUCUUCUCGAUGCUUUCAAUUGGUAUCAGAGCUUUGGUCUCCAUUGCUUUGGUUUAAUCACCAUUGGAGGAAGAUGGAUGAGUCUAUGUUGGGGAGUCUUAGACGUAGAGUGCCUAUGCUUGAUGGAGAAUUCUUUAGUGAGUGGAAAAAUGCGAUGCUUGGAAUUUUUCAUGAAUAUCACUUGAACAAGUACAUUACUACUUCUUGUGAACCCCUUGUUGAUCCCUUGCAUCCUACCCAUGAUGAGUCUCUUGACAUGAUUCACAAUCUUAGAACUAUCAAUCUUAUCACUAGAGGCUUGCCUAGAAAUUUGAUUGGUCACUUGCCUACUGUUGAUUGUGCUUAUACUAUAUGGAGAUUUCUUGAGGAACGAUUUCCUGACUAUUCCUUGAAAAACUUAGAUGAGAUUCUUUACAGGUCUAUUGCUUUGAGUAAGAUGAAUCCCAAUUGUCCUAUGUUUGGAGAUUGUUUAUUUGAGGUUACCAAUCUUAUGCAUGUCAAAGGAGAUGUUGGAAUCAUUAGCAAUAUAUUAUUUCUGAAGCUAUUAGAAUUCAUAGAGAUGAACAUUGUCAAAAUCAUAUAUCUAAUGAAUCAUUAAAUAAUCUAGGAAAUGAUCAUUUGCAAGAUGAUGUUGAACAUGGAUACUAUGAUGAAGAUGAUGAUAAUGACUUUGAUCUUGAAGAGUCUAUGAGACACUUUGUUCUUAUGGCUAAUCUUCACGGCUACAUGGCUGGAGGAAAGGAAUGGAUCCUUGAUAGUGGGUGUACUUAUCACAUGACCGGAGAUGAAGAUAUGUUUCGCGAGCUUGUUGAAAACGACGACCCUUGAAAGUAUGUCACUUUUGGUGACAACUCAAAGGGUAAGGUGGUUGGCCUCGGUAAGGUGGCCAUCUCACAUGACAGCUCCAUACAAAAUAUUAUGCUCGUUAAAUCCCUUGGCUAUAAUCUGCUUUCUGUAUCUAGACUAGCUGACUUUGGUUUCAAUGUCCUAUUUACUAAAGUAGAUUGCCAAGUGUUUUGAAGAUAUAAUCAUAAAAUGGUCUUUACUGACAUACAUAGAGGUGAUCUAUACAUUGUUGACUUCACUAAAAAGGCUCAACCUAGAACUUGCUUAAUUGCUAAAUCUUCCAAAGGCUGGUUGCGGCAUAGACGGUUAGGUCAUGUGGGAAUGCAAAACCUUUACAAGCUUAUUAAAGGUGAUCAUAUCCUUGGUGUUAAAGAUGUCAUAUUUGAUAAUGAUAGACUUUGCAGCGCUUGCUAAGCAGGAAAACAGGUUGGAGGAAGCCACCCCGUGAAGAACAUCAUGACAACGAGAAGACCACUCGAGCUGCUUCACAUGGAUCUCUUUGGUCCCAACGCCUACAAGAGUCUUGGUGGUAACUCAUUUGGACUAGUCAUCGUUGAUGAUUUUUCAAGAUUUACGUGGGUGUUCUUUCUCGAUGAUAAAUCGCAGGUUCAAAAGAUCUUCAAAAACUUCGCUAGGAAGGCCCAAAACCAAUUUGAAGUGAAGAUCAAGAAGGUUCACAGCGACAAUGGAACGGAGUUUAAGAACGCCAACGUGGAAACCUUUCUUGAUGAAGAAGGGAUCUCACAUGAGUUCUCGGCUAUGUACACCCCUCAACAAAAUGGAGUUGUCGAGAGGAAGAACUAGACGCUCAUCGAAAUGGCGAGAAUGAUGCAAGAUGAAUACAAGAUGCCAAAACACUUUUAGGCAGAAGCGGUUGAGACAACUUGUCAUGCAACGAAUCAUCUAUAUCUUCACAAGCUACUCGGCAAGACGGCAUACGUGCUCCUCACUGGUAACAAACCCCAAGUUGGAUACUUUCGGGUAUUUGGCUCAAAGUGUUACAUUCUUGACAAGCAUCAUCGUUCGAAAUUUGCUCCUAAGUCUCAUGAAGGUUUCCUACUCAGUUAUGGCUCAAACUCUCACACUUACCGUGUCUACAACAAUUUCACCCGAAAGGUAUAGAAGAAACGGUAGAUGUGAAGUUUGAUGAAUCUAACGGCUCGCAAGUAGAGCAAUUGCCAAUUGAUGUAGGUGACAAAGAUCCUUCGGAAGCAAUCCAAGACUUGUCUGUCGCCGAGAUUCGCCCAACCGAGGUGAAGAAGAGCACCUCGUCUGUCCAAGUGGAAGCCUCAACCUCACGCCAAGGUGAAGCAUGAGUUGACUUGGAGGCAUCCACAAGUGGGACACGUCAAGACGAUGAGAACGAGGAUGUACAACAAGAUGAAUCUCGACGACCUCCUUCUCCAUCUCCACGGGAGAACGAUCAUGCCAACAACAACGAAGAAAGACAAGAAGAAGAACAGGACAACGAAGAGGAUGUUCCACCCGACCCAAACAAAAGCUAUCACGAGUUCAAGCAAGAGUCUCAAGAGAUCAUCCCGUCGAACAAAUCUUUGAUGACAUUCAAACCGGGAGAAUUACUCACUCUAAAACUCAUUUGGCUAACUUUUGUGAACAUUACUCAUUCAUUCUAGCAUUGAACCUAUGAAGGUUUAAGAAGCAUUGGAAGAUCCGGAUUGGAUAAAUGCCAUGCACGAAGAGCUACACAACUUUGAGAGGAACCAAGUAUGGACGUUGGUUGAGAAGCCCGAUUAGAAGCACAAUGUCAUUGGAACCAAAUGGGUAUUUCGGAACAAGCAAGAUGAAUAUGGACAAGUUGUACGCAACAAGGCUCGUCUCGUUGCUCAAGGCUACACUCAAGUCGAACGUAUGCACUAUGGUGAGACUUAUGCCCCCGUUGCUAUACUUGAGUCCAUCCGCAUUUUACUUGCCUAUGCCAAUCAUCAUGACAUUACCUUAUAUCAAAUGGACAUCAAAAGUGCUUUUCUUAAUGGUGAAAUUGAGGAGGAAGUUUAUGUUAAACAACCUCCCGGAUUUGUUAAUCCUAAGAAACCCAAUCAUGUUUACAAACUUCACAAAGAUCUUUAUGGUCUUAAGCAAGCUCCUAGAGGUUGGUAUAAAUGCUUGACUAAGUUUCUUCUCGAUAAAGGGUUUGAGAUUGGUAAAAUUGAUCCUACACUCUUCACCAAAAGGGUGAAUGGAGAAUUAUUUGUGUGCGAAAUUUAUGUCGAUGAUAUCAUAUUUGGAUCAACUAACCCUCAUUUUAGUGAGAAGUUUGGGAAGCUUAUGUCGGAGAAGUUUGAGAUGUCUAUGAUGAGUGAACUCAAAUUCUUUCUCGGUUUGCAAAUCAAGCAAACUAAGGAGGGAACCUUUAUCUCUCAAAUGAAGUAUACCAAGGACUUAUUCAAGAAGUUCAACAUGCAAGAAUGCAAAGGUAUGAAUACCCCCAUGCCUACUAGUGGACAUCUUGACUUGACAAAGGAUGGUGUACCGGUUGACCAAAAGGUUUACCGCUCUAUGAUCGGUUCAUUGUUAUAUCUAUGUGCAUCCCGUCCCGAUAUCAUGCUAAGUCUGUGCAUGUGUGCUCGAUAUCAAGCAGCCCCCAAAGAGUGUCAUCUCAAGGCUGUGAAAAGGAUAGUGAGAUACUUAAUACAUACACCAAAUUUUGGCAUUUGGUAUCCUAAGAGGUCUUCUUUUGAUAUUGUUGGCUACUCUCACUCGGACUAUGCCGGUGACAAGGUUGAUAGAAAGUCCACUUCGGGUACUUGUCAAUUUCUUGGUAGAUCUCUUGUGUCUUGGUCCUCCAAGAAACAAAACUCAGUAUCCUUGUCCACCGCCGAAGCGGAAUACAUUGCCGCUGGUUCAUGUUGUGCUCAAUUACUUUGGAUGACUCAAACUCUUAAAUAUUAUGGGAUAUAUGUGAAACAUGUUCCAUUGCUUUGCGACAAUGAGAGUGCUAUUUAGAUUGCUCAUAAUCCCGUGCAACAUUCUAGAACUAAGCAUAUUGAAGUUCGUCAUCAUUUCAUUCGAGAUCAUGUUGCUAAGGGAGAUAUCAAACUUAAGCAUGUUCGUACCGGCAAGCAAUUGGCGGAUAUAUUCACUAAACCACUUGACGAGAAAGUGUUUUGUAGGUUGAGAGGUCAAUUGAACAUCAUUGAUGCCCCAAAUUUGGAGUAGAAACUCCAUGUGGAUGCAUGCAAGGUAUGAGCCUUACUAUGACUAAUCGUUGACAAUUCUCUUAUGAUGAUGAUCAUAUGUCUUGGAUAUUCUUGUACUCUUGCAUGCUAUCUAACCCUUGUAGGAACUUGGAAGAGCCCAACUCUAUGAGAUUGCAUCUCAAUCACAUUUUUAGCAAUCUCUACAUCUCCAAGUCGCUACAAAAUGGUGGAUGAAGACGAGGAGGCAUAAAUCCAUUCAAUAUAUCCUUUGACAAAUUCCUAUAUCAAAUUUCAUGAUUGUCAUUUUGGAUAUACAAGUGCCAUUCCUUGCAAGACUAACCCAUGUAGGAAGAUGAACUUCACCUACAAGUGGUUCUCCCAACUCUUGAUGAUCUACAUCAACUCAAGCACCCUACACAAGUUCAAUUACAUGACCAAGAUCACCACCACCCAAGGUAUGUCAUUCCAGCUUAGAGAAGCUUAACCCCAAUACAUGGGUCAAAGCAACUCAACAAGAUGAGAAUACAUCAAAAUGCUUAAAAGAAAAAUGGCAACCCCAUUUUGAGCUUGAACGAUGAGUAUGACCUAUGAUCAAGUGACUUCACUUAACUCCUAAGUCAAUAUACACUAACAUAGGUGACUUUGUCGCCAACCAAUUCCAAAUGAAGUCUUCUGUUGUUUCUUUGUGCCCUUGCAUUUGUCUCAUGCAUGCUAGUUCCCUUUUCAAAAAAAGAAAAAAAACUUCAUCUAGAUUUCUGUUCUUUUCUGUUUUUCCCUGCAUCCAAUUCAUUGCAAACCAUUCAGCUAAUUCCUUGCAUAUCCUUGUGAGAUCUUAUUUGCCUAGUGAGCUGAGGUGACAAAAAGUUACUCUCUGGGUUGAACUCGGUCUUACCAAAUUGGUUUCUUCGGCCGAACCGAAUCCACUUGGUGCCACCGAUUGCAACCACCCGGUGCUACCGAUUUCAGUCUCGAGACAAAAUCUUUGUCACUUGCCUUCUGCAUAUUUGUCCCAGCUCCACUCUUUGUAAUUUGUCCUCUACCAGCAUCAUAUACUACAUGUGGCUUUGUAAUGUGACUCCAGGACCAAACCUACUCGACUCAUGCUCCAGAAGCCCCUUCUUGGAAAUUGAUGUCAAAGUGGGUGAGAGAGCACAUCAAAGCUUAUCACAUAAGAGAGAAUGUGCUCAUAAAAGCUUCUCCUGAUGCUAAAGUUGUCUCAUGUCUUCAAGAGGGGAAAGACAUGAUAGUAUAUGUUAUGACUUUAUCUGCUCUGGUUGUUUUCUUAUUUGCUCUGAUUUUCUGCUACCCUAUCUACUCCCAUUAUCCCAUGUCAGAUUCAGGGGGAGAAAGACAUCUAUGGGAAGAAAAUCUUUGGAAUUCUUUACAUAUCUUUAUUCUUGGGGACAUGUAAAUAUCCAAAUAGAGUACCUAGUACUCACACUCUACAUGUCAUCCCAGUCUUGGUAUUCUUGUGCUCUUUAGUUCUUGCUCUGUUUAGUAGAUGUUCUUGUGUUAUCUAACCUUGUUUACCCAGGUACAUCUUCUUCAAGCUAGCUCAAGACCACAAGGUAAUUAUAUGCAUCACACUCAUGUGCAUGAAAAUCUCUUGCUAUGGUACAUAUUGUUUGCAAGAGAGACUCAUGAACAUGAAAGUAUAAUUCCAGUAUCUAUAUCAUUUGCUCUGAUGCAUAUAGCCAAGACACAUGUAACUCAUUGCCUGCUCUGAUAUGUUUAUGCAUUCUCAUACUCUUAUGAUCUAUUAUAACAUGAUUGCAUACAUGUAGGGGGAGCCAAUGCAUGUUGCAUCUAGCUCCAAAGCUUUACUUGCUAUUUCGUUAUAUCUUUAUAUAAAAGCUUUGAUGUAUGUUGUCAUAAGUUACCAAAAAAGGGGGAGAUUGAAAGCACAAGUUCUCCCUGGGUGUUUUUGGUAAUUCAUGACAACAUAUCUCUUGUUGGACUAAUACCUUUACCUAGUACAUUUCAGAUAAGUUCAACAUUGGAGUGACAUGGACAUGGAAAAGAGGAUGUGGAACCCCUUCAAGAUGCUAAGGACGAAUAUUGGGAAAAGCUCAAGACUCUGCAUUUUCAUUUCAGUGAUCGAAGAUCACAUUGAGUCCAUAGGAAAGCCAAUACUAUUAAAAGGGGACGAGGUGUUGCUUAAUGGCUUGCUUGCUCAAAGUGCUUAGUGAUAUGCUCCAAAAAACCCUCAGCCACUUUCUCACAUCCACAUUUUUCCUAAACCUAAAUGUCAAACUCGGCCCCACCCAUUUUGUUUAUCCGGCGCCACCGAGUUUCAUCAUAUUCAGCUACUGCCAAACCCUACUCACUUCGGUCUCACUGAUGGGAUCUCGGUCUCAGCGAGAUGGGCUUGCAAUCUCUCUGUGAUCUGGUGCAACACUUUCGGUCUAACCAAGUUGGUGUAGUCGGUUCCACCAAGUUUGCCUGACCAAUCCUCUGUUUACUUAUUACCAAAAUCGGUCUCACCGAGUUUGAGUAAUCGGUCAAACCUAGUUGAGGUUUUACCCUAACCCCUGCACAUCGGUCCCACCGAGAUGACUAUAUCAGUCCCAUCGAAAUUCCUAACGUUCACAUUUUGAACUAAAUCGGUCUGAUCGAGCCCCACCGAAUUUGGGAACCUGUGUGUAACGGUUAGAUUUUGUGUGGAGGCUAUAUAUACCCCUCACUACAAAAAAAAGACUCACCCGCGACAUUUUGGGCCGAACGAUUUUUUUUCCUGUCAUACAUAUGACACUUCUAUGACGAUAAUUGUGAGAAAACCCGGUAUCAUCAUAGAUGUGCUGGGCUCCUACUUCUAUGACAAAAAAUCAUGACAGAAAAUGGGCUUUUCGUCCUGGGCGGGCCAGAGACGCAGCUGCAUGACAUUCUUUGGGCCGUCCAUGACGGAAAAAACCGUGGUAGAAGCAAGGGGGAGGAAAAUAUCAGGGAGUUGCCGGUUACGGUGGGAGGUCGGGGGCCGAGCGAUGCACGUUUCUCUCGUACACGUACACACGUGUGUGUGAGGCAUUGGCUCUAACUGAACCCGAGCGAGGCGUUGCGCUCUAACUGAACCCGAGGGAUUGCACUACAGGCUACGCGUUACUGAACCCGAGCAAUCGACCGAUGGCUGUUAACUAAACCCGAUGGAGCGAUUCCUUUGCUACUGCUGCUAACUGAAGCCGAUCGAUUGGAUGAAUAGUGAGCAUUGCGGGGGGGAGGGGGGUGUGGAUGAACAGUGAGUGGUGGCGUUGCCUCUGGAUGAACAGGACCCCGUGGUGUGGAGGGCUGGAUGAACAGUAGAUGGUGGAGGGGUGGCCGUGGAGGGGUGGUUGAAUAGGACCUCGUGGUGUGGAGGGCUGGAUGAACUAUAGACGGUGGAGGGGUGGUUGAACAGUAGCCGGUGGAGUAGCGCAUGGUGGAGACUGGAUGAACAGGAGCCUGUGGAGGCUGGAGGAGGUCGACGGUAGCCCGUGGAGGCUGGAGGAGGUCGACGGUGGAGAUGAACAGUAGUGGAGUCCCGUUUUGCGGUACGCACACCCUUCCCGAUGAAUAGGACCCCCAUUUCGACCAUAGCACUCCAACACAAGUCCGUCUCGUCCGUUUUGCGGUACGCCACACCCCUCCCGAUGAACAGGACCCCCGUUCCGACCGUACCGCUCAAACACAAGUCCGUUUCGUCCGUUUUGCGGCACGCCACACCCCUCCUGAUCAACAUGACCCCCGUUUUGACCGUAGGAGGUCUGUUUCCUCCGUUUUGCGGUACGACACACCCCUCCCGAUCAACAGGACCCCGUUCCGAAUGUAGGAGGUCUGUUUCCUUUGUUUUGCGGUACGCCAGGCCUCGUUUUCAUCGCCUGUUCCGUCCAAGCCCUCCCGAUGAACACGACCAUGCAUUCCGUUCCGACUCAGCUGGUUGGCUCCCCAUGAACACGACGACGACGCUGUUUCUCCAUUCCGACCCAGCCAUGUACAUGAGCCCUCGCCGUACGUAUGCGCAAGUAGGCGUUCGAGACCCCGCCCGUAUGUACACAUACGUGGCCGUAUUUUCUUUCUUGCACCCUUGCCGUUGUACGUACGUGUACGUGCUACUUGCGCGCCUUUACUACGACACGUGUGCGCCUCUACAACGACCAGUAUGUACGUACACGUUCGCGACCAGAAUGACAACGCUACGUACGCUUCAACCAGGUGAGUCCCGACUGUCAGGCACUUCCUUGCGUGCGAAAAUGUAGCUGGUGGGUCCCAGAAGUCUGAGGGGUGAAUCGUUUUUUUUUGCCCGGACGCACUUCCUUGCGUGCGAAGAUGUAGCUGGUGGGUCCCAGCAAUCAGGGGGCGAAUCGUUUUUUUUGCCCGGACGCACUUCCUUGCGUGCGAAGAUGUAGCUGGUGGGUCACAGAAGUCAGGGGGAAAUGUUUUUUUCACGAAAUACGGUGGCCCGUACGGUGGGUCCCCACUGUCAGGUGGAGGUAUAAUUAUUUUGCACGUAAUAAGGAGGCACUUCCUUGCUGCGGCCGUGGACCCAGCUGUCAGCCUCUCCAUGUACAGUCCACGUCCGAUGGAAGCCAUUCCUUGACCAUGUUGACCACGCCGCGCCGAGAGCACUAGGGUGGUGGACAACGGCGAGGCCUAGGAAGGGGACGACUCAGAGCCGAGGAAGACGCGGAAGUGGAUGCCCACGCGUAGAGGAGUACGAGGGUUCACUGGUUCGCUGCGGUGUGAGCUACCGUUGCUGCAUAAUAACAGGGGUUGUGGGUGAGCAGAGGGAUGGCCUGGCCAGCGGUGGGAGUAGUAGGGGGCAGUGACGCCUCCGCCGCAUCGCAGACGGCCACGGGAGGUAGGAGCACGAGGCACGACCGGCGCUGGUUUGGGCGGCUGGAGCAAGAAGACCAGAGGUUGAAGAAGCACUACAGCCGUUGGAUGGACAUCGUAUGGUCACUGGAGCUAGAAUCGUGCAUAUUGACUAAGUUGACAAAGCCCUCCGUCCCCAUCAACUUAGUAGGCCCACAAGUCAGCCUGCGACUAUACUGGGUCCCAGCUAACAGGGGGAGUAUUCAUUUUUUUGUGCGUAAUAAGGAGGCACUUCCUUGCCUGCGAAGAUAUAGCUGGUGGGUCCGAGGUGUCAGCGGUGGUAACGUUUUUUUCUUGAAAUAUAGAGGCCCUUUCGGUGGGUCCCCGAUGUCAGGUGGAGGAAUCAUUAUUUUUCGCGUAAUAAGGAGGCAUUUCCUUGCGUGCGGCCGUGGACCCAGCUGUCAGCCUCUCCACGUACGGUCCACUUCAGAUGCAUGUCGGUUGUUGACCACGUUGACCAGGCCACGCAAAGAGCACCAGGGCGGUGGACGACGGCGAGGCCUAGGAAGGGAACGACAUGGAGGCAGGGAAGACUCGACAGUUGUUUCCCACGCGGAGGGGAGUACGACUGUACGAGGGUUUACUGGUUCGUCUACCGUCGCCAGAGAAUAAUAGCAGGUGUGGGUGAGUAGAGGGAUGGCUAGGCUAGCGAUGGGAGUACGGUGGGGCGGUGAGGGCUGUGCGGCAGCACAGCCGGCCGCGAGGAGGAGGGAGCAGGCAGUCCCUCCGGCGCUUGUUUGAGCGGCUGGAGCAGGAAGAGCAGAGAUUGAAGAAGCACGACGGCCGUUGGAUGGACAUCGUACGGUCACUGGAGCUAGAAUUGUUCAUAUUGACUAAGUUGACAAAGCCCUCCGUCCCCGUCAACUUAGUAUGCCCACAAGUCAGCCUCCCAGCAUGGUGGGUCCCAGCUAGCAGGGGGAGUAUUCAUUUUUCUGUGCGUAAUAAGGAGGCACUUCCGGUGGGUCCGAGCUGAUAGCGGGGGGAACGUUUUUUUCGCGAAAUACGGUGGUCCGUCCGGUGGGUCCCAGCAGUCAGGGGCAAACGUUUUUUCACGAAAUACGGUGGUCUGUCCGGUGAGUUCCAGUAGUCAGGGGGAAACAUUUUUUCCGCGAAAUACUGGUGGCCUAUCUGGUGGGUCCCUGCUGUCAGGUGGAGGAAUAGUUAUUUUGCGCGAAAUAAGGAGGCACUUCCUUGCGGCUGCCGUGGACCCAGCUGUCAGCCUCUCCACGUACAGUACU
rnacentral:lncRNA from 1 species